rnacentral:lncRNA from 1 species
AGAGCAGAGGACUACCUGGUGCUCACCUCUCAGCCCAGCUGGCCCAGCACUGUGGCUGAGGCCUGGCCCAGCCCACCACCGCCACCUCCCCGUGUCGUCUUCCUCCCUGCCAGGAGGACGGGCACGCGCCCGGCGCACGCGGCCACGCGCCCCGGCCACCUCCUCCCUGCCUGGCUGCCUCCCCCUCCCCUGGUCGCCUCCCGCGACGCCACGCAGCCCCUGGCUCCCUCUCUCACUCUCCUUGCUCCUUCCCUCCGUCCCUAUCCCCCUCUGCUCCCUCUCCCUCCCGCGACCGAACGGAGCCCGUCGCCGCCGACCAGCGCUCGCGCGGCCGAAGCCAUCCCGAAGCCUCUCCGACACGCCCUCGAGCUCCGCCGGUCCUCCCUCGUCCUCCUCGUCGUCUCACGCGACCAGAAGAGCCCCGGAACGCCGCCCCCGACGUUUUCCCCGUCCUCGGCCGCCGGAGAUCCGCCUCGCCGUCCCGCUCGCUCCGACGCUUCCCCGGCCCCGUCGUCUGCACCGGCCAACUCCCCGUGAGCUCCUCUUCCUUCUCCCCCUUUCCAUUCUCUCAUUUGCACGCCGUAGUUGCUGCCUUGCCAACGACCGAAACCCGCCGCCGCCCGCGCUCGUCGCCGGCAAAGCCUCGGUGACCUUUUGGUCCCGUGCGUGCGCCCGUUGCGCUCGCAACGUUCCGUAGAGCCGAACUAGCGUGACAGCCGGCUCGUUUGCAAGCCGCAGCGCCAACCCCGCACCCACCCGUAGCUCCGUCCGCCGCCACGAGCUCGACUCCGGCGAGCAUGAUCCACCCCAGCCCCUCCCAUUUGGCUCUCUGGAUGCGCAAGAGCGAGGGCUAUGCCCUGGUGCCCUCAGCGCGCGAAUCCGAUGCCCCUAGCGCAAGUCCGGCGUGCCCCCGCCGUGCUCUGUGGUCGUCGCCGGCAAAACUCCGGCGGGAGCUGACGUGGCUCCGUCAUUAGGAGCUAACCCAGCUGGUUAAUCAACCUACAGCCACUGACAGUGGGCCCCACCCCUGGUCAAACCCCAGUCAGCACUGGGUUUGACCGGGAUUAGUUCCUGUGUCACUGACGUGUGGACCCCGCACGUCAGGUUUGACCUAGGACGCCCAGUUGACUCUGCUGACGUCACAGUGACGUGGUGCUGACGCCAUAAAUCAUUUUCUGGAUUUAUUAUAAUCAGGAAAAUUCCAGAAAUAGCUAAAACUUCAAUAAAUCAUAGAAAAUUAACCGUAACUCCAAAUGAAAUAAUUUAUAUAUGAAAAAUUAUCAGAAAAAUUCAAGGAAUCCAUCUGUACCAUUUUCAUGCAUGUUAGAACAACUUAUAGCUGCUGUUUAACACAAAUCAAUUAAAGGGCAUUUAAAUAAUCAUAUAUGGAGUUGGAAUUUGAAUCAUGUAUUCAAACCAACUUCAUUUAAAUCAUAGCUAGGUGCAUUAGCCCAAAACACAUUCAUAUUGCCAUGUCAUAGCAUGCAUCAUAUUGUGCAUUGCAUUGAUCGUGUUUCUUCUGUAUUUGCCGGUGUUGUUCCCCCUCGGUAGACGUUGUACCGAUGAUGUGAUCGUUGACACUAAUGAAGACUCAAUGCUAUCUUCAGAAGUGCCAGGCAAGCAAAACCCCCUUGUUCAUUCCGAUAAAAUCCCACUCUCUCACUCCUGCUCUCUUUUACUGCAUUAGGACAACAACGAUAUAUUUGUUACUUGCUGCGGUAGCUGAACCCCUUUAUCCUUUGCAUGACCUGUCAUUGCCACAGUAAAUAGAUGAAACCCACUAGCAUGAGUAGGAGUUGUUUGAGCCCUGAUGUGCCUACUCAUUCAUGCUUGUUUGUCAUGCCUGCUACUGCUUAGAGUUGAGUCAGGUCUGAUUCAUUGGGGAUGAAUCAGAGGCGUGUGAACAUGUCCUACUGUGUGAGCUAAGUGUGUGAACACGAUUUGGUAAAGGUAGCGGUGAGAGGCCAUGUAGGAGUACAUGGUGGGUUGUCUCAUUGCAGUCGUAUCCAGGAACUGAGUUCUGUGUUUGUGAUCCAUGAUCAGUUACUACCACACAUUGGGCUCCGGGCGCUCCAAGCUCUCUCGACUUAUUAAUCAACUUGAUCUUUGUCCAGGAGUUGCAACUAGUUUCUGGUGUUUGUAGGUAGUGUUAGUAGUCUACCAAGUGGCACCCAGUACAGGUGGGCUUGGGACAGACUAGGCACAGUGGCCCGGUGUACCAAGUAGCACCCGGAUGGUGGGCUUGGGAACCCUGCUCACAUCGUUUGGGGCCGUAAGCGACACCCCGGCCGGAUCUCCUUGCGGAUGGAACCCGAAUAGGCGAUAAACCUGGACUAGAGACUUGUUCGGUUAGUCAGGUCGUGGCCGACUCCCUCGCCCGGCUUCCGCUUGAAGGUUGCCGAGGUACAUGACGUGUACAGGGCGAUAAGUGGCGAAAGCGUGUGUGAAGAAGUACACCCCUGCAGGGUUAUCAUUAUCUAUUCGAAUAGCCGGAUUCCUCGGAUAUGGAAACUUGGACCCCUUGUACAGUUCAUAGACAAGUGAAAGUGGAUACUCUAAAAUACGCAAGAUAAGCAUGAGUGCUAUGGAUGGCGUUCUCGUAGGGAGACCGGAGCAGAUCCAUAGUGGUGUAUUGAUAUGGUGAAUAUGUGGACUCGUGUGCGCCACCUCAAAAGAGUUACUUGCAGUCGUAGUUCAGGAUAGCCACCGAGUCAAAGCUGGUUUGCUGCAGUUAAACCCCACCACCCCCUUGUUGAUAAUGAUGCAUAUGUAGAUAGAUCUGAUGUAAGUCUUGCUGGGUACAUUUGUACUCACGUUUGCCUAAUUUAUGUUUUUGCAGAGAGACUUCAGUCUCACUAGUAGUUCCGCGUGGACUUCGACGUUUAGCUUGUUACCUCAGCUACGAUCUUGUGCCCUCGGCAGGAUCUGGUAGAUAGUCAGGCUUCUUAGCCUUUUUCAUUUAUAGAUGUCUGUACUCAGACAUGAUAGCUUCCGCUUGUGUUUUGACUUCUAUGCUCUGAGUGUUGGGUCAUGAGACCCAUGAUUGUAAUAUCUCGCUCCUCGAAGCCUAUUGAAUAAACUACUGAGUCGUAGAGUCAUUUUUUGAUGCCAUGUUGUAUUGCACAUAUCGAGCAUAUUGUGUGUAUGUUAUUGAAAUGCUUGGUAUGUGUGGGAUCUGACUAUCUAGUUGUUUAUCUUUAGUAGCCUCUCUUACCGGGAAAUGUCUCCUAGUGUUUCCACCGAGCCAUGGUAGCUUGCUACUGCUCCGGAACACUUAGGCUGGCCGGCAUGUGUCCUUCUUCGUUCCUGUGUCUGUCCCUUCGGGGAAAUGUCACGCGAUGAAUACCGGAGUCCUGUUAGCCCGCUACAGCCCGGUUCACCGGAGUCCUGCUAGCCCAGUGCUACAGCCUGGAUUCACUCGCUGAUGACCGACACGUUCGAUGCUGGCUCAUGGAUGCCUGUCCCUGUAAGUUUGUGCCACUUUGGGUUUACGACUAGCCAUGUCAGCCCGGGCUCCUUAUCAUAUGGAUGCUAGCGACACGGUCAUAUACGUGUGCCAAAAGGUGCAAACGGUCCCGGGUAAAGGUAAGGCGACACCCGUGGGAAUACCGUGCGUGAGGCCGCAAAGUGAUAUGAGGUGUUACAUGCUAGAUCGAUGUGGCAUUGAGUCGGGGUCCUGACAAGGGUUUAGCGCCGCGUUGAUUUAGCUUUUCCAGGGGCGCGACUUAUCUCAUGAGCUUGGAGUAGUUCUUCAGCGAGGUGCCGGGCCUGCGCGCUGGCAGCUGGGGUGUCGCUGGGUUGGGUCCUCGUGAGCUUCUUCCCUCUUCCCUGCACUUUCUUUCAUGCUCUACGUCCUCAGGUCCCGGCCCUCGAGCAAGCUCAGCCGCCGCUAGUAUGACAGGUCGCGAUGUCGUGGGUCAAGGCCAGGAGGUGAGGGCUGGAGAGCCAGUAAGAGCUCCUGAGUCGCGAUGCUCAGGCGCCCCCUUUUAACACGCGAGCGGGUCGCACGGGAGAGAGAGAGAGAGCCCACGACGCCCCCCAUGCUAUUCCUUACGUGGAUCUUGUACACCAGCACGAGGAAAACAAGGACUACCUUAACGGUUGCCAGCUAGCCAGUGGUUGCUCCGAGGGAGUGAUUGAGGCACUAAGGGCCAUGUGAGGUAGCGCUUUGCGGGGUUGCCGCUGCCAGAGCUCGACCACUCAAAUUUGUCGACAUUUCAGGGCCGGACCCAUGCGCAAGCGCCGUGCCAGAGCGAGCGGAUCCAAAGGUAGAUUUCAAUCGAGCAGGCGAUUAUCUCGAGCAGGUUAACCAUGAAGAAGCAAAUCAACUUAGCUAGAUGUAGAGAAAGGCACACGCCACUGGAUCAGGCCUGAGCGGGUUGGGGAUGAUGUAGCCCGAGGGGCGCCCCCAACAAGGUAAGCUGAAGACAUAAGCAAAAUGGAUACAUGCCGCUGGGACAGACCCACGCGACCUGGGAAUGAUGCGGCCCUGAGGGCACUCCCAGCUGAUACGAAACUUGAAAUAAAUCACCUGAUACCAUUGCAGAGCGAGUGUUGGAGUAGCUGACAAUGCAUGGUGAAGAAGCCAAUCCUCAUGAGCCCUAGGAGCUCUGAGCCUCGGGAGGCUCGGGAGGUCCGGUCGGCACGGCGUGGUCCAUCUCCAUUUCCUCCAGGAGCGCGCGAUGCUUGGCCACCUGAGCUUCCAGAAUGCUCCUCAUCAGGCGCUGGUGGAUAGCAGCCGCGUUUGGCAGGCCGAAGGGCAUGCGAACGUAGCUGUGAGGUGGACCCAUGCAAUGCCCCACGCGCGAAGUCCAGAAGCACUCCUGAGACGCGACUCGAUUGGGCCCUAGGUAGUAAAUGCAGACGCGCAGCCCACCAUCUUCGCCUGGAUGGGGAGCUACGCUAGGCAGGCGGCGAUUGUCGCGCAUGACUCUCGAUUCCUGCAACUCCUGAGCGAGCUUGGUGAUGAAAUCCUGAGGGUUGGGCCCUCUUUGCCUCACGCCUUCCUGAGGGAAAAGUGCCACGAAGCACGCCUCCAAGCGGUACCCGAGCACCUCCCUCGUGAUCUUGGCAAAGUCAGUGGCUCCAUAGAAGAGAGCCCCCGAGCCUUGCCCAAGGAGGGCGUCGGGCGCGCCUUCCUAUGCGACGGAGGGUGGCACCCCUUGGAUGGGCGUAGAUCCCGAUGUGGCGUGAUACGUCCAUUUUGCAUCAUGCUUUUAUAUCAAUAUUUAUUGCAUUAUGGCUGUUAUUUCACAUUAUGUCACAAUACUUAUGGCUAUUCUCUCUCAUUUUACAAGGUUUACAUGAAGAGGGAGAAUGCCGGCAGCUGGAAUUCUGGGCUGGAAAAGGAGCAAAUAUUGAAGGCCUAUUCUGCGGAACUCCAAAAGUCCUGAAACUCCACGGAAUAUCUUAAAAUAAAUAAAGAAAAAUCGUUGCCAAUGAUGAAGGCCAGGGGGCCCACACCCUGCUCACAAGGGUGGGGGGCGACCCCCCUGGGGUGUGCCCCCCUACCUCGUGGGCCCCCUGGUAGCUCUCUGACGCUCAUCUUCUCCUAUAUGAAGUCUUUCGAUGAGAAAAAAUAGAAGGCAACCUUUCGGGACGAGACUCCGCCGCCACGAGGUGGAACCUUGGCGGAACCAAUCUAGGGCUUCAGCAGAGCUGUUCUGCCGGGGACACUUCCCUCCGGGAGGCGGAAAUCAUCACCAUCGUCACCCAACACUCCUCUCAUCGGGAGAGGGAAAUCUCCAUCAACACCUUCACCAGCACCAUCUCAUCUCCAAACCCUAGUUCAUAUCUUGUAUCCAAUUCUUGUCUCCAAGUCCGGGAUUGGUGCUUGUAGGUUGCUAGUAGUGUUGAUUGCUCCUUGUAGUUGAUGCUAGUUGGUUUAUUUGGUGGAAGAUCAUAUGUUAAGAUCCUUUAUGCAUAUUAUUACCCCUCUGAUUAUGAACAUGAAUAUGCGUUGUGAGUAAUUAUGUUUGUUCCUAGGACAAGGGAUAAGUCUUGCUAUUAGUAGUCAUGUGAAUUUGGUAUUCGUUCGAUAUUUUGAUAAGAUGUAUGUUGUCUAACCUCUAGUGGUGUUAUGUGAACGUCGACUACAUAACACUUCACCAUUAUUUGGGCCUAGAGGAAGGCAUUGGGAAGUACUAAGUAGAUGAUGGGUUGCUAGAGUGACAGAAGCUUAAACCCUAGUUUAUGCGUUGCUUCGUAAGGGGCUUAUUUGGAUCCAUAUGUUUCAUGCUAUGGUUAGGUUUACCUUAACACUUUUGUUGUAGUUGCGUAUGCUUGCAAUAGAGGUUAAUCAUAAGUGGGAUGCUUGUUCAAGUAAGAACAGCACCCAAGCACCGGUCCACCCACAUAUCAAAUUAUCAAAGUACCGAACGCGAUCAUAUGAGCGUGAUGAAAACUAGCUUGACGAUAUUCCCAUGUGUCCUCGGGAGCGCUUUUCCUAUUAUAAGAGUUUGUCCAGGCUUGUCCUUUGCUACAAAAAGGAUUGGGCCGCCUUGCUGCACUUUAUUUACUUUUGUUACUUGUUGCUUGUUACAAUUUAUCUUAUCACAAAACCAUCUGUUACCACUUAUUUCAGUACCUGCAGAGAAUGCCUUGCUGAAAACCGCUUAUCAUUUCCUUCUUCUCCUCGUUGGGUUCGACACUCUUACUUAUCGAAAGGACUACGAUAGAUCACCUAUACUUGUGGGUCGUCAAGACUCUUUUCUGGCGCUGUUGCCGGGGAGUGAAGCGCCUUUGGUAGGUGGAAUUCGGUAAGGAAAAUUUUAUUUAGUGUGCUAAAAUUUUUUGUCACUUGUUACUAUGGAAAGUAAUUCUUUGAGGGGCUUGUUCGGGGUAUCUUCACCCCGUCCAGUAGAGCAAAGAGUUGCUCCUCAACCUACUGAACCUACUGAACCUAUCGAAACUGAAACUCCUUUUGAGAUUCCUUCGGGUAUGAUGGAAAAACUGCUAGCUAACACUUUUACAGGAGAUGGAACAAAGCAUCCUGAUGAACAUCUACGAUAUGUGGAUGAUGUUUGUGGACUACUUAAGCUUGUAGGUAUACCCGAUGAUGUUGUUAAGAAGAAGGCCUUCCCUUUAUCUUUGAAGGGAGAUGCAUUGACAUGGUAUAGGCUAUGUGAUGAUAUGAGAUCAUGGAACUAUAAAAGAUUGAAAUAGGAAUUUCAUCAAAAGUAUUACCCUAUGCAUCUUGUUCAUCAUGAUCGCAAUUAUAUAUAUAAUUUUUGACCUCGCGAAGGAGAAAGCAUCGCUCAAGCUUGGUGGAGGCUUAAAUCAAUGUUAUAUUCAUGCCCCAAUCAUGAGCUCUCAAGAGAAGUAAUUAUGCAAAGUUUUAUGCUCGGCUUUCUGAUAACAAUCGCACCAUGCUCGAUACUUCUUGUGCUGGCUCUUUUAUGAUGAAGACUAUUGAAUUUAGAUGGAAUUUAUUGGAUAGAAUCAAAUGAAACUCUAAAGAUUGGGACCUCGACGAAGGUAAGGAGUCAGGUAUGACACCUAAGUUUGAUUGUGUUAAAUCUUUUAUGGAUAUCGAUAUUUUCUGUAAGUUUAGCACUAAAUAUGGACUUGACUCUGAGAUAGUAGCUUCUUUCUGUGAAUCUUUUGCUACUUAUGUUGAUCUCCCCAAUGAGAAGUGGUUUAAAUAUCAUCCUCCCAUAGAAGUAAAAGUAGCUGCACCAAUUAAAGUUGAAGAAAAGACUAUCACUUAUAAUGAUCCUAUUCUUCCCACUUCUUAUGUUGAGAAACCACCUUUCCCUGUUAGAAUGAAGGAUCAUGCUAAAGCUUCAACUGUUGUUCGUAAAAGCAAUAUUAGAACUUAUACACCUCCUGAGAAAGUCAAAGUAGAACCCAAUAUUGCUAUUGUUAAAGAUCUCUUGUCUGAUAAUAUUGAUAGGCAUGUUAUUCAAUUCAGUGGUGAAACUGCUAGAAUUGCUAAACCAUGUGCUAGAGAUAAACAUAGACCUGUGGUAGGCGUGCCUGUUAUUUUUGUUAAAAUAGGAGAUCAUUGUUAUCAUGGUUUAUGUGAUAUGGGUGCUAGUGCUAGUGUUAUACCUAUUACCUUGUAGGAAGAAAUUAUGCAUGAUAUUGAUGUUACAAUUAAACUUGCCAAUAGAGAUACUAUAUCUGCAGUAGGAAUUGUUAGAGAUGUUGAAGUCUUGUGUGGGAAAACCAGAUAUCCCGCUGAUUUUCUUGUUCUUGGUUCUCCACAAGAUAGCUUUUGUCCCAUUAUAUUUGGUAGACCCUUCUUGAAUACUGUUAAUGCUAAGAUAGACUGCGAAAAGAAUGUUGUUACUGUUGGCUUGGAUGAUAUAGUUCAUGUUUUUAAUUUCUCUAAAUUUAGUAAACAACAUUGUGAGGAAGAAUUGCCUAGUAAGGAUGAAAUUAUUGGUCUUGCUUCUAUUGCUGUACCUCCUAGUGAUCCUUUAGAACACUAUUUUCUAGACCAUGAAAAUGAUAUGUUCAUGAAUGAAAGAAGGGAAAUAGAUGAAGUAUUCUUUAAACAAGAACCUAUUCUGCAACACAAUUUGCCUGUUGAAAUCCUAGGGGAUCCUCCUCCACCCAAGGGUGAUCCCGUGUUUGAGCUUAAACAGUUGCCUGAUAAUCUUAAAUAUGCUUAUGUUGAUGAAAAGAAAAUAUAUCCUGUCAUUAUUAGUGCUAACCUUUCAGAGCAUGAAGAAGAAAGAUUAUUGAAAACUCUAAAGAAGCACCGUGCCGCUAUUGGAUAUAUUCUGGAUGAUCUUAAGGGCAUCAGUCCCACUCUAUGUCAACAUAAAAUAAAUUUGGAAGCGGAUGCCAAGCCAGUUCGUGAUCCUCAACGACGUUUGAAUCCUAAAAUGAAAGAAGUGGUAAGAAAAGAAAUACUCAAGCUUCUGGAGGCAGGUAUAAUUUAUCUCGUUGCUGAUAGUCAGUGAGUAAGUCUUGUCCAUUGUGUCCCUAAGAAGGGAGGUAUUACUGUUGUCCCUAAUGAUAAAGAUGAAUUGAUUCCGCAAAGAAUUAUCACAGGUUAUAGGAUGGUAAUUGAUUUCCGCAAAUUAAAUAAGGCUACUAAGAAAGAUCAUUACCCCUUACCUUUUAUUGAUCAAAUGCUAGAAAGGUUAUGCAAACAUACACAUUAUUGCUUUCUAGAUGGUUAUUCUAGUUUCUCUCAAAUACCUAUGUCGGCUAAAGAUCAAUGAAAGACUACUUUUACAAGCCCUUUUGGUACUUUUGCUUAUAGACGUAUGCCUUUUGGUUUAUGUAAUACACCUGCUACCUUUCAAAGAUGCAUGAUGGCUAUAUUCUCUGACUUUUGCGAAAAGAUUUGUGAGGUUUUCAUGGACGACUUUUCCAUCUAUGGUUCCUCUUUUGAUGAUUGCUUGAGCAAUCUUGCUCGAGUUUUGCAGAGAUGUGAAGAAACUAAUCUUGUCUUGAAUUGGGAAAAGUGCCACUUUAUGGUUAAUGAAGGUAUUGUCUUGGGGCACAAAGUUUCUGAAAGAGGUAUUGAAGUUCAUAAAGCCAAGGUUGAUGAUAUUGAAAAGAUGCCAUGUCCCAAGGACAUCAAAGGUAUAAGAAGCUUCCUUGGUCAUGCCGGAUUUUAUAGGAGGUUCAUUAAGGACUUCUUAAAAAUUUCUCGACCUCUGACUAAUUUAUUACAAAAAGAUGUACCAUUUAUCUUUGAUGAUGAUUGUGUAGAAGCAUUUGAAAUACUUAAGAAAGCAUUAGUCUCUACACCUGUUGUUCAGCCACCUGAUUGGAAUUUACCCUUUGAAAUUAUGUGUGAUGCUAGUGAUUAUGUUGUAGGUGCUGUUCUAGGGCAAAGAGUUGAUAAGAAAUUAAAUGUUAUCCAUUAUGCUAGUAAGACUCCAGACAAUGCUCAAAGAAAUUAUGCUACUACCGAAAAGGAACUUUUAGCAGUUGUAUUUGCUUGUGAUAAAUUCAGACCCUAUAUUGUUGAUUCUAAAGUAACUAUUCACACUGAUCAUGCUGCUAUUAAAUAUCUUAUGGAAAACAAAGAUGCAAAACCUAGACUCAUUAGGUGGGUUCUCUUUCUACAAGAAUUUGAUUUGCAUAUUGUUGAUAGAAAAGGAGCUGAGAACCCUGUGGUAGACAACUUAUCUAGGUUAGAGAAUGUUCUUGAUGACCCACUACCUAUUGAUGAUAGCUUUCCUGAUGAACAAUUAAAUGUCAUAAGCACUUCUCGUAGCACCCCAUGGUAUGCUAAUUAUGCUAAUUAUAUUGUUGCUAAAUUUAUACCACCUAGCUUCACAUACCAGCAAAAGAAAAGGUUUUCUAUGAUUUGUGACAUUACUUUUGGGAUGAACCACAUCUUUAUAAAGAAGGAGUAGAUGGUGUUAUUAGACGUUGUGUACCUGAGCAUGAACAGGAACAGAUCCUACGCAAGUGUCACUCCGAGGCUUAUGGAGGACACCACGCUGGAGAUAGAACUGCACAUAAGGUAUUGCAGUCUGGUUUUUAUUGGCCUACUCUCUUCAAGGAUGCUCGUAAGUUUGUUCUGUCUUGCGAUGAAUGUCAAAGAAUUGGUAAUAUUAGUAGACGUCAAGAAAUGCCUAUGAAUUAUUCACUUGUUAUUGAACCAUUUGAUGUUUGGGGCUUUGAUUAUAUGGGACCUUUUCCUGCCUCUAAUGGAUAUACACAUAUUUUAGUUGCUGUUGAUUACGUUACUAAGUGGGUAGAAGCUAUUCCAACUAGUAGUGCUGAUCAUAACACCUCUAUUAAAAUGCUUAAGGAAGUUAUUUUUGCGAGGUUUGGAGUCCCUAGAUAUCUUAUGACUGAUGGUGGUUCACAUUUUAUUCAUGGUGCUUUCCGUAAGAUGCUUGCUAAAUAUGACGUUAAUCAUAGAAUUGCAUCUCCAUAUCACCCGCACUCUAGUGGUCAAGUAGAAUUGAGCAAUAGAGAGCUCAAAUUAAUUUUGCAAAAGAAUGUUAAUAGGUCUAGAAAGAAUUGGUCCAAGAAACUGAAUGACGCAUUGUGGGCCUAUAGAACUGCAUAUAAGAAUCCUAUGGGUAUGUCUCCUUAUAAAAUGGUUUAUGGAAAAGCUUGUCACUUACCUCUCGAACUAGAACAUAAAUCAUAUUGGGCUAUUAAAGAGCUCAACUAUGAUUUCAAACUUGCCGGUGAGAAGAGGUUAUUUGAUAUUAGCUCACUUGAUGAAUGGAGAACCCAAGCUUAUGAAAAUGCCAAGUUGUUUAAAUAAAAAGUUAAAAGAUGGCAUGACAAAAGGAUACAAAAGCGUGAGUUUAAUGUAGGUGAUUAUGUAUUGCUAUACAACUCUCGUUUAAGAUUUUUUGCAGGAAAACUUCUCUCUAAAUGGGAAGGCCCUUACGUUAUCGAGGAGGUCUAUCGUUCUGGUGCCAUAAAAUUCAACAACUUUGAAGGCACAAAUUAGGUGGUGACGGUCAAAGGAUCAAACACUAUAUCUCAGGUAAUCCUAUAAAUGUUGAAACCAAUAUUAUUGAAACCGUAACCCCGGAAGAAUACAUAAGGGACACCUUCCAGAUAGUUCCAGACUCUGAAAAGGAAUAGGUAUGUGGUAUGGUAAGUAAACCGACUCCAAAACAAUUUUUAAGGCAAUAUUUCUCCAUUUUGGAAUAUUUAGAAAAAUAGAAAAAUAAGUAGCAGUCCGGGGAUGACACGAGGCCUCCACGAGGGUGGAGGGCGCGCCCUACCCCCUGUGCGCGCCCCCCUACCUCGUGAGCACCUCGUGUGCCCUCCGAACUCCGUUUUCUUGCACGAUACGUAUUUUGGUCGGUAAAAAUUCAUUAUAUAUUCUCCUGAAGGUUUUGACUCUCGUAUCACGCAAAUCUCCCAUGUUCUUGUUUCAAGUUGUUUUUCUGACUGGUCUAGAUCAUCAUGACGACCCCAAGUGCUUCCAAGGACAAGUUCUUCGAGAAGGGAACCGGAAGCGUGGAGUCGAGGCUCGAAGCAAUGGAGCAACAAGUUUUCAAGUGCCAGGGGAUGGUGGAGCGUCGAAUCAACGCUAGCCACAAGAUGCUCGCGGAGUUCACCAACAACUACGAGUCGGAUGCCAAGAACACCGAGGAGGCCAUCUUCAAGCUACAUGAGAAGAUCGAGCACCUCCAAGCCCAAAUCUAUGAUCUGCAAAACCAAAACUGUGAGUAUGAAUAUAGAUUCAAAAGGAUGAGUUUGGCUGCAGAUUUCAGGAUUCCGGAGACUCGAUCAUCCUUCUAUGAUGGUGAGCCUAUGCCAUGGAAGGUGGACGAUAAGCCUGCAUCAUCAACAACACCUCCACCGCCAACAACAAAGAAGGAGAUAUAAUCACAUGGGUAUGGGCACUCCCCUUGGCAACUGCCAAGCUUGGGGGAGGUGCCCUGGUAUCGUAUCACCAUCACAACUCCUAUCUUUACCCUUUUUCUUAGUUCGAUCCUAUUAGUAGUAUCUUGAUUUAGUAGAAUAAAGUUAUGGCAUGAUCUAGUUUUGAGUUUUGCUUUAUGAUCCUUCUUUGUAAUCGAGUCCAUGAGCUAUAUAAUAAAGAUUAGUGUUGAGUCAAGGGCUUGAUUAUUUCGCCAUGAUCUUGGGUGAAUAGAAGAAAAAGAAUAAAAAGAAUCAAAGAGUUCAUAUUGAUCUUAUUAAAAGUAAUGGCUUCACAUAGAAAGAGUACGAUGAUUAAAAGUUGUUGGGAGUUGGCAAAUAUAGCUUUGGUCAUCGUUGCAAUUAAUAGGAAGUAAUAAGGAAAGAGAGGUUUCACAUAUAGAUAUAUUAUCAUUGACAUCUUUUAUGAUUGGGAGCACUCAUUAAAAUACGACAUGCUAAAGAGUUGAGGUUGGACAAGGAAGACAACAUAAUGAGUUAUGUUUUCUUACAUCUGAGAUAAAAUAUGCUUUCAUGGAUCCACUACCAUGUUGAGCUUGCCUUUCCCCCUCAUGCUAGCCAAAUUCUCAGCACCAAGUAGAAAUACUACUUGUGCUUCCAAAUACCCUUAAACCAGUUUUGCCAUGAGAGUCCAUCAUAUCUACCUAUGGAUUGAGUAAGAUCCUUCAAGUAAGUUGUCAUCGGUGCAAGCAAUAAAAAUUUCUCUCUAAAUAUGCAUGACUUAUUAGUGCGGAGAAAAUUAGCUUUGUACGAACUUAUUGUGGACGUAAUAAAAGCGACGGACUGCAUAAUAAAGGUCCACAUACAAGGGGCAAUAUAAAGUGACAUUCUUUUGCAUUAAGAUUUUGUGCAUCAACCCUAAACGCGCAUGACAAUCUCUGCUUCCCUCUACGAAGGGCCUAUCUUUUAUUAUUAUCCUCUACCUUAUGCAAGUCACGGUGAUCUUCACCUUUCCUUUUUUAUUUUAUCCUCCGGCAAGCUCAGCAUGUUGGAAAGAAAAUGAUAUAUAUAUAUAUAUAUAUAUAUAUAUAUAUAUAUAUAUAUCUAAUUGGAUGUAGGGGAGCAUGAAUUAUUAUUGUUGACAUUACCCUUGAGGUAAAAGGUUGUGGGGCAAAACUAUAAGCCCCUAUCUUUAUCUGUGUCCGGUUAAGACUCCGGAACCACAAGUAUUGCGUCAGUGUUAGCAAUUAUGAAGGACUAAGUCAUAGUUGAGUAUGUGGACUUGCUUUUAAGCUAUGACAUAGACUCUUUCCGAUGUUAUGAUAAAUUGCAAUUGCUUCAAUGACUGAGGUUAUAAUUUGUUGGUGCUCAAUAAGGUUUCUGAUUCAUACUUUGGCUUUGUGAAAAGAUCAUCACUUGAACAUAAGUAAUCAUAUGACAAAAUCUAUAUAUGUUGCUAUUAUGGAAAUAAUCAUGAUGCAUUCAUGUCCGUAUUUUAUUUUUAUCAACGCCUCUACCUCUAAACAUGAGGACAUAUUUAUUGUUAUCGGCUUUUCGCUUGAGCACAAGCGAGGUCUAAGCUUGGGGGAGUUGAUACGUCCAUUUUGCAUCAUGCUUUUAUAUCAAUAUUUAUUGCAUUAUGGACUGUUAUUUCACGUUAUGUCACAAUACUUAUGGCUAUUCUCUCUUAUUUUACAAGGUUUACAUGAAGAGGGAGAAUGCCGGCAGCUGGAAUUCUGGGCUGGAAAAGGAGCAAAUAUUGAAGGCCUAUUCGGCGCAACUCCAAAAGUCCUGAAACUCCACGUAAUAUCUUAAAAUAAAUAAAGAAAAAUCAUCGCCAAAGAUGAAGGCCAAGGGGCCCACACCCUGCUCACGAGGGUGGGGGGCUCCCCCCCCUAGGGCGCGCCCCCCUACCUCGUGGGCCCCCUGGUAGCUCUUCGACGCUCAUCUUCUCCUAUAUGAAGUCUUUCAAUGAGAAAAAAAUAUAAGGCAACCUUUCGGGACGAGACUCCGCCGCCACGAGGAGGAACCUUGGCGGAACCAAUCUAGGGCUCCGGCAGAGCUGUUCUGCCGGGGACACUUCCCUCCGGGAGGGGGAAAUCAUCACCAACGCUCCUCUCAUCGGGAGAGGGAAAUCUCCAUCAACAUCUUCACCAGCACCAUCUCAUCUCCAAACCCUAGUUCAUCUCUUGUAUCCAAUUCUUGUCUCCAAGUCCGGGAUUGAUGCUAGUAGGUUGCUAGUAGUGUUGAUUACUCCUUGUAGUUGAUGCUAGUUGGUUUAUUUGGUGGAAGAUCAUAUGUUCAGAUCCUUUAUGCAUAUUAUUACCCCUCUGAUUAUGAACAUGAAUAUUCUUUCUGAGUAAUUACGUUUGUUCCCGAGGACAAGGGAGAAGUCUUGCUAUUAGUAGUCAUGUGAAUUUGGUAUUCGUUCGAUAUUUUGAUAAGAUGUAUGUUGUCUAACCUCUAGUGGUGUUAUGUGAACGUCGACUACAUAACACUUCACCAUUAUUUGGGCCUAGAGGAAGGCAUUGGGAAGUAAUAAGUAGAUGAUGGUUUUGCUAGAGUGACAGAAGCUUAAACCCUAGUUUAUGCGUUGCUUCAUAAGGGGCUGAUUUGGAUCCAUAUGUUUCAUGCUAUGGUUAGGUUUACCUUAAAACUUUUGUUGUAGUUGCGGAUGCUUGCAAUAGAGGUUAAUCAUAAGUGGGAUGCUUGUUCAAGUAAGAACAGCAACCAAGCACCGGCCACCGACAUGUCAAAUUAUCAAUGUACCUAACGCGAAUCAUAUGAGCGUGAUGAAAACUAGCUUGACGAUAUUCCCAUGUGUCCUCGGGAGCGCUUUUCCUAUUAUAAGAGUUUGUCCAGGCUUGUCCUUUGCUACAAAAAGGAUUGGGCCACCUUGCUGCAUUUUAUUUACUUUUGUUACUUGUUGCUCGUUAUAAUUUAUCUUAUAACAAAACCAUCUGUUACCACUUAUUUCAGUACUUGCAGAGAGUACCUUGCUGAAAACCGCUUAUCAUUUUCUUCUGCUCCCCGUUGGGUUCGACACUCUUACUUAUCGAAAGGACUACGAUAGAUCCCCUAUACUUGUGGGUCAUCAUGGCACCUCCAGAGGUACCUGCCUCCUGAGGCCUUGAGUCGGGUGAUGUCUUCUUUUCCUUAGGAGCUGCUUUAGGAAGGUUUCUACUCUUGCUGUCUGGGUCCUCAAUUGACGCGGCUUGGAAGGCGUGCUCGAGAGAGCACACCUCAUCCUUCUCUUCACAGGGGACCGUGAUGACUCUGCCACUUCCUGGCAUCUUGAGGACAUUGUAGCCAUGGUGAGUCACUGCCGUAAACUUGGCCAGGGCGGGAUACCCAAGGAUGGCAUUGUAUGCCAGGGCUCGGUAUGGUAGUUCUUGCAUUGUCCAAAGGUGACAGGGAGGCGAACCAGCCCUAUCGGGAUAGUGGUACCAUCAGUGACUCCUUACAAAGGCUUGGUUGGUUGAAGCUGAUCGUAUGGCACAUGGAGAUUGUUGAACAUCUCGACGGACAGGACCUUGAGCCCUGCCUCACCGUCGAUGAGGGUCUUGGUAACUUGCACAUUGUUGAUGACUAGGGAACAGAGCAUAGGAAGGACACCAGCUGUUGCCGCGCACUUGAGCUGAUCCACUGAGCUGAACGUGAUGGCGCACGCAGACCACCUGAGAGGGCGCGUGGCCUCAAGCUUGGGGAGGACUGCAUUCACCUCGCGGGCAAACUGCUUGAAGAUGCGUUGUGAGGCUGGGGCCUGAGUGCCGCCCAAGAUGCAAGUGAUCGCACGCGGCUCCUGGCAGCCCCCAACCCCCUCGUCCUGAUGAUGGUUGUCAUUCCUUCUUGGUGGUGGCGGCAGAGGAGGAAGUCCUGCGUUGCCUUGUGGGCGAUCCUCACGAGGCUGAUCCCUCCAGGCCCCCUCACGAGGCUGGUCCUGCCUGUGGUCCUCGCGAGGCCGGUCACGCCACCCUUGGUGAGGUCCCAUCAUCCUCCACCACUUCCUCCGCCUCGGCCGUAGCCCCGAUCGUUGUGCUCGGGGCGUCGGCCGACACGGCCUUCUCGCACGGCCCUGAGCUCUUGGCAUUUGUUGGUGUUGUGGCUAUGGAGAUCGUGGUACACACAAUAACGGAUGCCCUUGGACGACUCCGGCUGGUCCCGACCGCGCUUCAUGUCUGGCUCUGCUGCGAGCACAGCUGCUCCCUUGCGCUUCACAUCCUUGGCCUUGGCUUUCUUCUCUUCUGGAUCUGCUGCUGGGAGCUCGAGAUGGGAGAGACGUCCCUCCUCAGCCCUGGCGCACUUGGUCGCCAGGUUGAAUAACUCCAGAGACGUACAUAGAUCUUCAUGGAUGGCCAACUCCUUCAUCUUGACAUCGCGGACGCCAUCAGAGAACGCCGAGAUGAUGGCCUCCUCGGUUACCCUAGGAAUCUUGAGACGAGCACUAUUGAAGCACUGGAUGUACUUCUGCAAGGUCUCUCCGGGUUGAUGCUUGAUGCGGUGCAGGUCACCCAUAGCCCACGGACGGUCGUGAGUGCCCUGGAAGUUGGCGAUGAAGCGAGUGCGCAUCUCAUCCGAGUAGAAGAUCGUGCCAGGGGGCAGGUUCAGGAGCCAGGUGCGGGCAUCGUCCUUGAGUGCCAUGGGAAACUAGUUUGCCAUGACCUUUUCUCCCCCGUUGGCGGCUUUGAUGCCUAGCUCGUAGAGCUGUAGGAACUCCGCGGGGUCGGCAGUACCGUUGUAGCAAGGAGGCAGGUCAUGCUUGAACUUGCCUGGCCAGGCGACACUGUGUAGCUCCGUGGUGAAGGCGCGGCAGCCUGCAGUGGCCACCAGAGCUCUCUGCUGAUGCGGGGCUUGCUCCUGGGGAUUCCCGCGCGCCACUGCCUAGAGCAGCGCGGGGUCUUGACGUGGUGGCGUAGGGAUGCGGUCAUGGCGCACUGGUGCCGGGAGCACACGAGCACCUUCUUGGGGACGAGGGAUCUCUUGGUAGCUCCUUUCUUGUCGCGCGGGCGCCGGAUGCGGUGGAUCUCGUCCGGGGCCAUGCGCCUUGGAGCCAGCGCACCUUCUUGGAGAGGAGGUGGCGGAGGCACCUCCUGGGCUGCACCACCCGCGCCGGACAGAGGGUGAGGCAGCUAAAGGGAUGGCGCAGGGGAGCCCCCUGCGGUGCUGACGAGCUCGGUGAUGCGAGCGAGCCACUCCUCGUAGAGGUCGUCGACGGGGCAAUAGUGCUGGAGCUCACGCGCCAGGAGCAACACGGCGUGCGUGUCCGUGGGGGAGCGAUGGGCGUGGGACGACGAACCAGGUGGAGUCAGCGACAGGGUGGCGGUGUAGCCUUCCCGCCGCACCGAAGGAUGCAGCGACGAGGCCUGCUGCUCGUUCCCCGCCGGGCCGGUGGCGGCGUUGGCGGCGGGCGACGGGGAACGACACGGACACCCGCCGACGGGAGCCGUCUGGGCGAUGCGGGCGGCGAGACAGCCCGACGCUCGGCGCGAGCCCGGCGAGCGUCUGCCAUGGACACGACGGAAGAUCGAAUGCGAAACAGCGGAAGAAAGAUUCCGUUGUACCCCUACCUGGCGCGCCAAAUGUCGGAUGUUGGGUUCCGGCAGACUCUAAAGGUUCGAACUCUGGGGUGCACGUGAAGAUCUUCCCCCUACCAAUCCAUGCCCGAUCGCCUCGCGAGAAUCUAAGCUAAAACGAUGAACGGCACGAGGGACACAAGAUUUAUACUGGUUCGGGCCACCGUUGUGGUGUAAUACCCUACUCCAGUGUGUGCUGUGGUGGAUUGCCUCAGGGGCUAAUGAUGAACAGUACAAAGGAUGAACUGCCUCACGAGAGGUGUUCUUGAGCUGGUGCGAUGAGCUGCCUGGAUGAGUUCAGUCGCCUCUCGAUCUAAUGAGCACUCGAUGAGAUGCCCUCUGCUGUGGUGGCUAUCCCUAUAUAUAUAUAGAGGCCCUGGUCCUCUUCCCAAAUAUUGAGCGGGAAGGGCGCCAACAACGGCCAUUUUGAAGGGGAACAUCUAGUACAAGUUAUCCUGACUAACGUUGGUCUUCGGCUGCCAAAGGCACUGGCGAUGAUGCCAUCUUGGGCUCCACGGUGACCUCCAUCCUGCCGCUCUGCUGGUCUUGGUCUCAUUGCACUGAAAUGGCAACCUUUGCCUGAUGCCUCGGUACUCCACGCAUGCGCUUGCCCCCUUUGCACCAAAGAGGAAACAAGGACACUGCGCCGGCCGGCGCCCGCCUGGUGUCUGCCUGGUCUCGAUCGUCAUGGCUUGAGUCACGAGCACCUCGCGACGUACCCUGCCUUGAUCUCUCCGCCUCCUCGCGAGCCUGCCUGGCGAGGCCAUUCCUGAGGAAGUCUUGUGUCGCCCAACCCGCGAGGCUUGGCCCCUCGCAAGGGUCUUGAGCCUUGCAUUGAUGAAGAUGGGCCGUACUGGGCCACCGCUCGAGCCACGCCGCAGGCCGCAGGCAGGCAAGUUUGGGGACCCCCGUUCCUAGAAUGCCGACAGUUGGGUUUUACCUUAAUGAACGUUAGUAGUUGCAGAAGCUUGCUAAUAGUUCCAAUCAUAAGUGCAUAGAAUUCCAAGUAAGGCAUGACAUGCUAGCAUUGGCCUCUCCCAUAUAAAAACUUGCUAUCGGUCUAGUAACGUAGUCAAUUGCUUAGGGACAAUUUCACAAAUCCUUCCACCACUUUUCCACACUUGUUAAACUAACUUAAUUGUUUCUUUAUCUAAACAACACCUAAAUUUUAUUUUCAUGUUCAUUAUUAUCUUGCAAACUUAUCCAAUCACACCUACAAAGUACUUAUAGUUUCAUACUUAUUAUAGGUAAAGAGAACGUUAAGUGCGCGUAGAGUUGUAUCGAUAGUCGAUAGAACUUGAAGGGAAUACAAAUCCUACCUUUAGCUCCUUGUUGGGUUCGACACUCUUAUUUAUCGAGAAAGGCUACAACUGAUCCCCUAUACUUGUGGGUUACCAAGACCUUUUUCUGGCGCCAUUACCAGGGAGCAGUAGCGUAGGGUGAAUAAUCUCAUGUGUGCUUGUUUGCUUUAUCACUAAGUAGAUUUUAUUUGCUGUUCUAAGUUGUUUUAUAUCUUGAGUUAUGUAUAUGGAACACGAAAUACCAAAAAAUUAGGUGUACUGCUACUCAUGGAGAUGGGAAACUCCUAAAACCCUCGAUGCUCAUUAUGUGAAAAAUAUUAAACACUACUUUGAUAAUCCUGAGAAAACCCAUUCAACUUGAUAAUGGGAGACAUGUUGGAUCAACGUGAAUACUUUAGGGAUUAUCGCUUGACUCAAAAAGGGAAACUUUUAUGGGAUCAAAUUCAUAUGUUGCAUUGGUAUGCUUGAGAUAUGAUUAUACUUGUUUCUCUAGGAUGAAGGCUCCACACCUUCCCUUUUUUCGUGAAAAUUUAACAAUAAUGAAACCUUAGCUUCUUAUGCUAAUGGUAUAGUAUAUGAUUACUAUGUUGUCGAACAAAUAGAAGAAUUUGUUGCUUUUAAGGGUGCUUAUGAAACUGAAUUUUUGUUUGAAAAGUGUGAAAAUUAUGAUGAUGCUAUCUAUAGACCUGAAAGUUAUGCUAUACUCAAAUAUUGCUAUGAGAAUUAUGAAUAUAAUGUCGAUAUUAACGAAUUUAUGGAGGAAGUCUCCGCUGUCUAAGAAGAGACUAAUAUUUUGCAGGAAACUAUGGAAGAAGAAAUUCAUGACAUUGUGAGCUUAAUAGAUGAAAAAGAUGAUGAGGAGAACCAAGAACAAAAGGAGGAAGAGCGGAUUAGCAACCUGUGCCCACCUUCUAAUGAGAGUAACUCUUGAACUCAUACGUUGUUUACCUUUCCCUUCGUGCUUACUGAAGGAUGAAUGCUAUGAUGAUUGCUACGAUCCCUUGGAUUUUUUUGAAAUAUCCCUUUUUGAUGAAAUUGAUGCUUGCUAUGCUUGUGGCCAUGAUGUCAAUAUGAAUUACGCUUAUGGAGAUGAACUUUAUAUAUUUACUUAUGUUAAGAAUGAAAUAGUCACUAUUUCACCCACGCAUGAUAGUCCUGUUAUCCUUUUGAAUUCUCCCAAUUACACUAUAUUAGAGAAGUUUGCGCUUAUUAAGGAUUAUAUUGAUGGGUUGCAUUUUACCAUUACACAUGAUGAUUUUGAAAGUAUAAUAUGCAUGUGCUUGCUGCUCCUACUUGCAAUUAUUAUGAGAGAGGAACUACAUAUCCGCCUCUCUAUAUUUCCAACAUGAUAAAAUUGCAAGAAACUACUUAUGCUAUGUAUUGGCCUUUACUAGAUGUGCAUGAAUUGUUCUUUUAUGACAUGCCGAUGCAUAGGAAGAGAAUUAGACUUCGUCAUUGCAUGAUAUAUGUUGCUUUGUGCUCACUACUAAAUUACAAAUCAUUGUUAAUUAAAAUUGGCUUUGAUAUACCUUGGGAUCUGGGUGGAUCAAUUACUUGAGCACUUUAUGCCUAGCUUAAUGACUUUAAAGAAAGUGCUGCCAGGGAGGCAACCCGGAAGUUUUAGUGAGUCAUUUUAUUCUGUUAUGUACUUUUAAAAAGUUUAAAAACAAAAACGAUAUAGAGGGGAACCUAAAACUUUUCAAAAAGAAAGCUGAAAGUGAGAAGGACGAAAACCGUUGAAGUGGGGGACGUCCUUGAACUUUGUUCAUGCCCAUGGAAACUUUGUGAAUCUCGAUUACAGAAACUUUUAAACAAAAAUAAUUAUCUCCUUGUACAAAUCCAUUGUAUUAUACGAAUAAUGUGCCAAGAUUUGCCUUUAGGAUGAUUAGAUUGCUUGUUUGGUAUGUGCAGUGGAAAAACAGAAACUUUGGCUGUAGCGCAUGAAUUUACAUUUUUUUUCUGGAAUGUCAAACGUUUCUGAAAUUUUUAUACAGUACUGCAAUGCGAAUUAUUUAUUUUUUCCUAAUUUUUCAGAAUUUCUGGAGUUACAGAAGUAUGGUGAAUGUUCGGAUUUCUAUAGACAGAUUCUUUUUUUAUGCAUUGUUUUGCUUGUUUUGAUGGAACUGUGGAUUGUAUCGAGUGGUAUAAGUCAUGGAGAAGUUAUAAUACAGCAGGUAUAAUGCAAAAAUAAAAUACGAAUGGGUUUGCAAUAGUACUUAAAGUGGUGAUUUGCUUUAUUAUACUAACGGAUCUCACGAAGGUUUUGUUAAGUUUUGUGUGAUUAAAGUUUUCAAGUUUUGGGUGAGAUCACGAUGGAUGAAGGAAUAAGGAGUGGCAAGACCCCAAGCUUGGGAAUGCCCGAGGCACCCCAAGGUAAUAUUCAAGGACUCCCAAGCAACUAAGCUUGGGGAUGCCACGAAAGGCAUUCCCUCUUUCUUGUAACGACCAUCGAUAAUUUUACUUGGAGCUAUAUUUUUAUUCGUCACAUGAUAUGCGUAAAUCUUGGAGCGUCGUGUGCUUUUUAUUUUUAUUUUAAUAAUGCACCAUGCUGGUAUGUGAUAGUCCUUGGUCGAUUUAUAGAAUGCUCUUUGCACUUCACUUAUAUUUUUUAGUAUGGCUUUAUAGAAUACUUCAUGUCCUUCACUUAUAUCAUUUGAAGUUUGGGUUUCCUGUUUAUCUACACAUAGAAAACCGCCAUUUGUAGAAUGAUCUUUUGCUUCACUUAUAUUUGUUAGAGCGUGGGCAAAUCUUUUGUAGAAAGAAUUAAACUCUCCUGCUUCACUUAUAUCUAUUUAGAGAGUCAACAGGAAUUGGUCAUUCAUAUGGUUAGUCAUAAAAUCCUACAUAAAACUUGUAGAUCACUGAAUAUGAUAUGUUUGAUUCCUUGCAAUAGUUUUGCGAUAUAGAGAUGAUAAUGUGUGAGAGGUACUAGUGAAUGAUUUUGGUUUAGGAAGAAUAUUGGUGUUAAGGUUUGUGAUUCCCGAAGCAUGCACGUAUGGUCUCCCAUUAUGCGAUGAAGUUAAAGCAUGAUUUAUUUUUUAUUGUCUUCCUUAUGAGUGGCGGUCGGGGACGAGCGAUGGUCUUUUCCUACCAAUCUAUCCCCCAAGAAGCAUGCAUUUUAGUACUUUGUUUCAAGGGCUAAUAAACUUUUGCAAUAAGUAUGUGCGUUCUUUAUGACUAAUGUUGAGUCCAUGGAUUAUAUGCACUCUCGCCCUUCCAUCACUGCUAGCCUCUUCGGUACCGUGCAUUGCCUUUUCUCACCUCGAGAGUUGGUGCAAACUUCGUCGGUGCAUUCAAACCCCGUGAUAUGAUACGCUCUAUCACACAUAAGCCUCAUUAUAUAUUCCUCAAAACAACCACCAUACCUACCUAUUAUGGCAUUUCCAUAGCCAUUCCGAGUUAUAUUGCCAUGCAACUUCCAUCAUCAUCAUAUACAUGACUUGAGUGUUCAUUGUCAUAUUGCUUUGCAUGAUCGUAAGAUAGCUAGCAUGAUAUUUUCAUGGCUUGUCCGUUUUUUGAUAUCUUUGCUAUGCUAGAUCAUUGCAUGUUCUGGUACACUGCCAGAGGCAUUCAUAUAGAGUCAUCAUGUCUUAGUUGUAUCAAGUUGUAAUAUCGAGUUCCAAGUAAAUAAAAGUGUGAUGAUCAUCAUUAUUAGAGAAUUGUCCCAGUGAGGAAAGGAUGAUGGAGACUAUGAUUCCCCCACAACUCGGCAUGAGACUCCGGAUGAAAAAAAAAUAGGCAAAAAAAGAGCCCAACAAAAAAAGAAAAAAAAUGAAAAAUGAGAGAAAAAGAGAGAAGGGGAAAUGUUACUAUCCUUUUACCACACUUGUGCUUCAGAAUAGCACCAUGUUCUUCCUAUAGAGAGUCUCUUGAUUUAUCACUUUCAUGUUAUUCGUGGGAAUUUUUCAUUAUAGAACUUAGCUUCUACCUUCCGAUGAUGGGCUUCCUCAAAUGCCCGAGGUCUUCAUGAGCAAGCAAGUUGGAUGCACACCCACUUAGUUUUUAGUUUGAUCUUUCAUACACUUAUAGCUCUUACUGCAUCGUUGCAUGGCAAUCCCUACUCCUUGCAUUGACAUCAACUGAUGGGCAUCUCCAUAGGCCAUUGAUUAGCCGCGUUGAUGUGAGGCUUUCUCCUUUUUUUGUCUUCUCCAUACAACCUCCACCAUCAUAUUCUAUUUCACCUAUAGUGUUAUAUACAUGGCUCACACUCAUGUAUUGCGUGAGGCUCGAAAAGGCUUGAGAACAUUAAAAGUAUGAAAUAAUUGAUUGGCUUAUCAUCGGGGUUGUGCAUCAUAAAUACUUUGUGUGAUGAAGAUAGAGCAUGACAAGAUUAUUGAUUUUGUAGGGAUAACAUUCUUUAGCAUUGUUAUUUUGAAAGACAUGAUUGUUUGUUGGGAUGCUUGAGUAUUGAUGCAUUUAUAUCCAAUUGAUAGACUAUUACUUUGAAUCACUCGUGGCUUAAUAUUCAUGCCAUGAUUAGAUUAUGUGAUCAAGAUUAUGCUAGGUAGCAUUCCACAUAAAAAAUUAUCUUUUUUUAUCAUUUACCUAAUCGAGGACGAGCAGGAAUUAAGCUUGGGAAUGCUGAUACGUCUCCGUCGUAUCUAUAAAUUUUUUAUUGUUUCAUGCCAAUAUUCUACAACUUUCAUAUACUUUUGGCAACUUUUUAUACUAUUUUGGGACUAACAUAUUGAUCCAGUCCCCAGUGUCAGUUCCUGUUUAUUGCAUGUUUUUGUUUUGUAGAAUAUCCAUACCAAACGAAGUCCAAACGGGAUAAAAAUUUAUGGAGAAUUAUUUUGGAAUAUAUGUGAUUUUUGGGAAUCAGAAUCUACGUGAGAAGAUGCCCGAGGGGCGCCCAUGAGCCCUAAGGGCGUGCCCCCCUAUCCAGGGCGCGGCCAGGAGGCUUGUGGCCACCCCAUAACGCGGUUGGUGCCCUUCUUUCGCUGCAAGAAAGCUAAUAUCCUGAUAAAAGUCAUGUUAAAAUUUUAGCCCAAUCGGAGUUACUGUCGGUGUCAAAACCGGCGGAUCUCGGGUAGGGGGUCCCGAACUAUGCGUUUAGGCGGAUGGUAACAGGAGACAAGGGACACGAUGUUUUUACCCAGGUUCGGGCCCUCUCGAUGGAGGUAAAACCCUACUCCUGCUUGAUUGAUAUUGAUGAUAUGGGUAGUACAAGAGUGGAUCUACCACGAGAUCAAGGAGGCUAAACCCUAGAAGCUAGCCUAUGGUAUGAUUGUUGUUGUUGUUGUGUCCUACGGACUAAAACCCUCCGGUUUAUAUAGACACCGGAGAGGGCUACGGUUACACAGAGUCGGUUACAGUGGUAGGAGAUCUACAUAUCCGUAUUGCCAAGCUUGCCUUCCAAGCCAAGGAAAGUCCCAUCCGGACACGGGACGAAGUCUUCAAUCUUGUAUCUUCAUAGUCUUGGAGUCCGGCCGAUGAUGAUAGUUCGACUAUCCGGACACCCCCUAGUCUAGGACUCCCUCAGUAGCCCCUGAACCAGGCUUCAAUGACGACGUGUCUGGCGCGCAUAUUGUCUUCAGCAUUGCAAGGCGGGUUCCUCCUCCAAAUAAUUCAUGGAAGAUUGUGAACACCAGGAUAGUGUCCGGCUCUGCAAAAUAAAUUCCACAUACCACCAUAGAGAGAAUAAUAUUUACACAAGUUUCAAUCUGCUGACGUAUUUCGUGGCAUGACGUCACACCACAACCAAGCUUUUACUCGAAUCAUUUUUAUUAUACCACCUCAGUGUGUUUAGCGAAGCGGUUUCCUUGGCACAUCUUGUCGAAGCAGAGGUCGUGUUCCCCUUAUUCCGGGAUCCUCAUCAAUACGGACGUGGGUAACCCAACCGCGCCAUUGAUUGCGGCGCUUGGGAGAUAAGCGAGUUUUACCAGGCUAGUAGGGACGCAUAGUUUCAUCCGCCCAUAUAUAAGGGGAUAAGGAUCCACCUUUUUUACCUAUGCCUUCUUCCUCCUUUGCUUAUCCAUCUCCGCGCACUCGAGCUCCAGCGCCCAAGUCCGCACAUCUCACCUCGACCUUCUCCAGCCAUGUACGGAGCGGGAGGCAAGUGGAUGGCCUCCUCCGUUACGGAGGGGCACAUCAAGAACCUGCACAGCGCCGGAUAUCUGUCCAGUGACACCGCGCAUCGGCUGCCCGACGAGGGGCAGCUCAUCCCCACCCCCAGGCCCCAUGAGAGGGUGGUAUUCCUUCCCCAUUUCCUCCGCGGACUGGGCUUCCCACUCCACCCCUUUGUCCGGGGGCUCAUGUUCUACUACGGCCUAGAUUUCCACGAUCUGGCCCCAAAUUGCAUCCUCAAUAUCUCGGCGUUUAUCAUCGUGUGUGAGGCCUUCCUCUGCAUCCAGCCCCACUUCGGCUUGUGGCUAAAGACCUUCAAUGUCAAGAGGAAGGUUGUGAAGGGCAGCCAAGCGGAGUGUGGAGGCGCCAUGGUGGGAAAAAUGCCCAACGUCACUUGGCUCGAGGGUGCCUUCGUGGAAUCCAUCAAAGGGUGGCAAUCGGGGUGGUUCUACAUCACCGAGCCGCGUGACCCUAAGUGGGCAGCGGCCCCCGAAUUCAGAUCUGGCAUCCCCAUGCAGCUCACCUCCUGGAAAGAGAAGGGAUUGCUAUGGGGUAGUUCGGAAGAGCUGACUGGACUCCAGUCCUGUCUCCAGACCCUGGUGAACAAGAAGCUCAAGCUUGUCAAUGUGAUCCAGGUCAUGCUCGUCCGCCGGAUUCUCCCCUGCUAGCAACAGGACUUUAAUUUGUGGGAGUUUGAUCCGGCACAGCACCGGACUUUGAGCGAGCUCUUCGACACUACGUACGAAGCUGCCUAGAGGGUGCUUUUCAAGGGCGCCGAAGCUCUCGCAUCCGCUACCGAAGAUCGCGGAUUCAGCACGCAGCAUCCGGCUGGCGAGGUAAGCUAUGUUAUCCUUUAUGGGACACUUGUUUUUCAUAGUUUGACUCUAUGCGGGAUCUAAACUCCCAAUACCUUUAACAGGCCUGGCAGAAGACGUCCGGACAGGUUAACUGUCCGGCUCCCCUUCCAGAGGAUCCAGCGGAUGCCCUUUUGACAGGGCUGCUGGUCCCGGCACUUUACGUGGUGCCGGAGAAGAAGGCCAAGAAGAAGGCCACGGGAACCCUAAGGAGUUCCCGGUGUCAGGUGGUAUCGGACUCAUCGUCCGAUGACUCCGAGGCGGACUCCUCCCACGAGGACGAGGGGGAGAAGAAAGAGGCCUCUCCCCCAGCGGGGGGAGAGAAGAAGAGGAAGGCCUCCCCAACGAGGGAGGCCGAAGGGUCCAAGAAGGGAAGGACCCUUCCCCUAGACUGUUCCGUCAACGUCAGCGACGGCGACGAGGAGUGGCCCUCAAGGGCCAAGCCCCUGGCGAGAUCGUAAGUAUCCGGACUCCUAGAUGAUUUACAAUUUUUCUUUUUGUGACAUAGUGUCUUUCUAAUGCCGCAUACAACCCUGUAGUCCGCCCAAGGACGAUCUUCCCGCUUCUUCGAGCGGGUCCUUGGGUACGUCGGAUAUGGAUUCCCUUCCGACCGCCUCCACCCCCCGUGACACUGACGACGUCGAGGUGGGAUCCCAGGAGGGGACCCACCAGGAGGAGGAGGCCCCAGAGGUGCCGCAGGGCAACCUCCCGGACUUUUCACCGGACUCCGCACCGGAACCUGCAGUGGUUCCGGAGUCCGGCGGGCGGCCCCUUCGGAAGAAGGGCAAGACUGUGACACCGGCGACCUCCGUCCAACCAGAGGCGCCGGAUAGCUUGCUGGAGGCGCUCAACGGCGCUUCCAUCAAAGAAGAACACCGCACUGUCAUGAGUGCGGUGAUUCAGAAGGUUCAGCUCACCAAGAGUGGGCUGACCGAAGCCUGCAGCAGCCUUCUAACAGACUUUGAGGUAAGAAUUUUAAGAUAUGUAAUAUAAUACCGCAUAGACAGUAGCCCCUGAUGCUCGGUUCGGUGUUCGGAAACAAAAGCCGGACUGAGGAUCUAAAAAGAUAUACGCAGGAGUCUGAAAAAAUGUGUCAAUAUGGGAUUGCAGGCUGCGCUGCUGACCUCUGCCGCAUUGACUGCGGAGGUCAAUACCUUGAAGCAGAGCCUCGAGCGGUCUGAGAGCGAGCUUGGCCGUGCCAAGAAGCAGCUCGAGGACAAGGAAGGUGAGUAACACCGUAUUUAAAGUUGUACCUUACAGAAAAGGAUUUGGUUGGAAGAGAAAUAACAAGGAUAACGUGGGUACUACAGUGGCCACGAACGAGGUGGCGACCCUGAAGGAGGCGGUGUCCGCGGCUGAAUGCAAUGCGGCCGCGGAACGAGCCGAGCGAGAGAAGCAGGAGGCGCGGGUGGCGGAGGUACAGCAAGAGCUCCAGGCUCUCGUGGAAAAGCAUGAGAGUUUGGAGCGUGACUCGAAGACUCGAGAGUCCGAGCUUGCAUUGGCUCUUGAGAGUGCCAAAGCCGCUAAGGCCGAUGCCCACAAGUCCCUCUAGGAAAGUGAAUUACCUGUUACUUACCCGGAUUCGGAGCUCUCCAGAACGUUCGCAGAUUUGCCCCGCAGCAUGUCCGAUGCUGUCGCUUUCUACAUAGCCGAGGAGGGGAGUUCGACGGAGAAGGCCUUCUGGUCUCAGUAUGCUGAGGCCGGACAUCCGGUGCCCCUUAGCGACCAGCUGAAGUAGUUGGUCGAGCUCCACAAGGUGGCCGAACAGGCCAUGAAGGGCCUCAUAGUUCGGCUGUGGCCCAAGGAGGCCAUGCCUGGGAGCUACUUCGGCCUGGUGCGGCGGCUGGUGGAUGCGUGUCCCUGGGUUGAAGUCGUCAAGCACUCCGCCUGCAUUGAAGGUGCCCGUCGGGCCCUUGCCCGUGCAAAGGUGCACUGGGGCAGGAUGGACACCGAUAAGCUUGUGACGGACGCGCCACCGACGGGCAAGGAGUAUCGCACACCCGAGAUGUAUUAUAAGAGUGUCCUAAAGGGUGCCUGCAUGAUUGCGGGUGAGUGCUCCAAAGAUGUAAUAUUUGAGUAGACUCGCAUUUUGUUAUCCUGUGCGCUGAAAACUUUGUUCAUAUGCGCUAAGCAACACUUAUUGAUUUAAAAUAUUACCUUAUAUGCGGCCGUUUAUCAAAUCUGAGAGAUGGCAAGUCGUCGGCUUCAGCCCCCAUGCCACGAGUGCUGGGGUGUUCGGGAUAAACUUGAGCGCUCUUGUUCCCAUUUUUGGGUCCAUCUAGGGAGGCGCUCAACACAACGAACGCGGCAACCGGACUUAUAGUGCUUGAACACUCUCACUUAGCCAUAGAAUUCUAUAAUUUUAAAUUUUGGCGAAGCCCCUAGUGUUCGGAAGACCGAAUACGGGGCGCUAUCCACGCCUGGGCCGGACAAAGCCGGUUUCUCGCUCUAAGCGGCAUAAGUCUUUAGGGACUCGAAAAAACCUCUCAAACAGUGACCGGCUCUCGCCUCAUCAUGACGGUCAGUUUUAGCUUUCUCCACUGAGGUGCUCGCCCAGCUCAACUGGGGCACAAUCGUAGUGGUUCUGCCAGUGCUACCUUAGCCGAUAUAACGGAACGUAAGGUGCCAAAACAUGGGAGCCGGGCAAACCCAACUAUUGACCCAAGACAUGAUUCGGAGCCGAUGCAUAUAAUGCUAUAAGUUCGGGGUGCUGCACUUGUGAAAGUGUUCAGACUUAUCACACCAUAAUGUGGGGAACUUAAGCCCCUGGUGUAUUUAGCCGUACCAAAGUGUACGGAUGCAACAAGUCAUAAAUGAACAUAUGUAUAAGAAAGAAAUGCAAUUAUAGGCAAAAAGCGAUGCAUUGUUUAUUCAAGAGAUACUGUCAUGAAUGCAGAGCGAUACAAAUAGUGCGGUAAGCAAGGGAUGGGACUAUUAAACAUGUCCCCCUCCAGGGGUAGGCUGCGGAAUGGUGUAUAAAACAGAUUUAAUGCUCGUAAUGGAGACCACAUGGAUACUCGUCGUAGCCUUUCUCCUUCCCUGGCUGUUGCAUCGUGAGUUCGGCAGGUCUACUGCCGGACUGGGCCUCUGGUGAACGGAGUCCUACGGGUAAGAAAAAAGAAAAAGGAAAUAGAAUGACAUACUUGGGAGCCCCUGGUGUGGUUGAGCCGCACUCUGGGCCUGUUGUGGUCAUGCCCCUCCCCCUAUGCCCAUGGUAUCUCCAGAGCAUAAUGAUGUACGCAAAGGACCAGUCUUGAAAUUUUGCAAGGGCUGGGGUUGGGGCCGCAUUGCUACGCGUGCUCAGAACAUGCCAGGUGGUCUUGUUGUAGGUUACUCCGGGCGCGUUUAGCCGUGUCCGGUCGCUUAACGGCCGGACUCAAGAAUUGCCUUAAGAGGCUGCUCUGUACUUCUGCCGCGAGAGCCGUUGUGUGUUCCUUCAUUCGGAGGGAGCGUUCAGUGUUUUCGUUGACCGUGAUUACUCCUCGAGGGCCUGGCAUCUUGAGCUUGAGGUAUGCGUAGUGCGGCACCACGUUGAACUUUGAAAACGCGGUCCGUCCGAGCAGAGCAUGAUAGCCGCUGCGGAACGGAACUAUCUCGAAGAUUAACUCCUCGCUUCGGAAGUUAUCCGGGGAUCCGAAGACCACUUCAAGUAUGACUGAGCCUGUACAAUUGGCCUCUACACUUGGUAUGACGCCUUUGAAGGUCGCCUUUGUGGGUUUAAUCCUUGAGGGGUCUAUGCCCAUCUUGCGCACUGUAUUCUGAUAAAGCAGGUUCAGGCUGCUGCCGCCGUCCAUCAGGACUCUGGUGAGGUGAAAUCCAUCGACGAUUGGGUCUAAAACCAAUGCGGCGAAUCCGCCGUGGCGGAUACUGGUGGGGUGGUCCCUUCGAUCAAAAGUGAUCGGGCAGGAGGACCAUGGGUUGAACUUCGGGGCGACUGGCUCCAUCGCGUAUACAUCCCUGAGUGCACGCUUCCGCUCCCUCUUGGGUAUGUGGUUUGCGUAUAUCAUGUUCACCGUCCGUACUUGUGGGAGGGAACCUUUCUGUCCUCUAUUGUUCGGUGGCCGGGUCUCUUCCUCGUCAUCGUUGUGCAGCCCCUUGUCAUUGUUUUCGGCAAUUAACUUUCCUGCCUGCUUGAAUACCCAACAAUCCCUGUUGGUGUGAUUAGCUGGUUUUUCAGGGGUGCCGUGUAUCUGGCAAGAGCGGUCGAGUAUUCGGUCCAAAUUGGACGGACCCGGAGUAGUUCUUUUGAAUGGCUUUUUCCGCUGACCGGGUUUGGAGCCUCUGAAUCCGGCGUUGACUGUCGUAUCCUCAGUGUUAUCACCGUUAACGCGGCGUUUGUUUUUGUUGCGACGCGACCUGCCAUUGCGGUCCUUGGUAUCCGGACUGCCAGAAUUUUUGUUGAGGUUGUUACUGUGUGCUAGCCAGCUGUCCUCUCCCACGCAAAAGAGGGUCAUGAGUGAUGUGAGGGCUGCCAUGGAUUUCGGCUUUUCCUGUCCUAGGUGCCGGGCAAGCCACUCGUCGCGGAUGUUAUGUUUGAAGGCUGUGAGGGCCUCUGCAUGUGGACAGUCGACGAUUUGAUUUUUCUUUGUUAAGAACGGUGUCCAGAAUUGUCUGGCCGAUUAGUCUGGCUGCUGAAUUAUGUGGCUUAGGUCAUCAGCGUCUGGUGGUCGCACAGAUGUGCCCUGGAAGUUGUCAAGAAAUGCGGCUUCCAGGUCCUCCCAACACCCAAUUGAUUCUACUGGCAAGCUGUUAAGCCAAUGCCGAGCUGGUCCUUUAAGCUUGAGUGGGAGAUAUUUGAUGGCGUGAAGAUCGUCACCACGGGCCAUGUGGAUAUGAAGGAGAUAGUCCUCGAUCCAAACCACGGGGUCCAUUGUGCCAUCAUAGGAUUCAAUAUUCACGGGUUUGAACCCUUCGGGGAUUUGAUGAUCCAUUACUUCAUCUGUGAAGCAUAGAGGGUGUGCGGCACCUCUAUAUUGGGCUAUAUCACGAUGUAGCUCGAGCAAGCUUUCUCUACUGUGUUCGACCCGGCCGGAGUUGUUGUAUCCGGCGCAACGGUCGUCAUCGUGCAUUGUGGGGCGCCCACGCGAUCCGUAGAUCGAUCUUGAUUGUCUUGCCUUAUCCUCCAAUAUGUCUCGCAAGUCCGGCGCAUUCCCCCGUGGCUUCGUACUUUUCGAGCAGUGCCGGGGUACGGUUCUAGUGGAGGGCCUAGAGGCCUCUCUGUCGCGGCCAUGAGGUGGUCGGUCAGCCGUAUUGUGCGCUGGUGAUGCAGGUUUAUAUGCCUCCUCCUCUAAUCGGGGGAGCAGCUUGCGUUUGGGGUAGCUUUUGGAGGGGCAUUCGAGUUCAUGCUCUUCGGCCGCAAGGACUUCAGUCCAUCUGUCGGCUAGCAGAUCUUGAUCAGCUCUAAGCUGUUGCUGCUUUUUCUUGAGGCUAUUUGUCGUGGCCAUAAGCCUGCGUUUAAAACGCUCUUGUUCGACGGGAUCCUCAGGCACGACAAAUUCGUCGUCGUCGAGGCUUGCCUCGUCUCCGGAGGGAGGCAUGUAAUUAUCAUCCUCUACCUCUUUGUCUGCCGCUCUCUCGCGAGGGCUGGCUUCUUCAUCCUCCUGUGCUGAGUAUUGUUGGAGGUGGUUGUCUUCGGCACUGUCAGGGGUGUUAUUGUCUCCGGUGCCGGAAUCUCCAUUCUUGUUGUGGCGGGAUUUAGAGCGGUGCCGCUGACAUCGGCGCUUAGGCUACUUCUUGGAGGAGUCUUCCUCCGCUGUUUUCUCGCCAUUCACAUCCUUUGGGAUAUCCACCAUGUAUAUGUCAUAUGACGAGGUGGUCUUCUAGUGCCCCGUAGGCGCUGGUUCUUGGUCGUCUCCGGCAUCGUCGUCCAUACCGUCGAUGUCUUCGGAGUCGUAGUCUAGCAUGUCGGUUAGAUCGUCGACAGUGGCUACAAAGUGGGUGGUGGGUGGGGUUUGAAUUUCUUGGUCGUCCGCAUCCCAACCGUCCUGACCGCAGUCCGGCCAGGGCUCUCCUGAUAACGAGAGAUAUUUUAGCGAAUUGAGGAUGCCGCCGAAAGGUGAGUGUUGAAAGAUGUCCGCAGCGGUGAACUCCAUGAUCGGCGCCCAAUCGGAUUCGAUUGGAGGGGGCGCGGGAGGUUCAGAGUCUGGCGAGGAGUCCGGCACCUCGGAGUCACGAGCUUCACAAGGGACAAGGUCAAUAUUCGGCUCCAUCACCAUAGAGGUUGCAGCCCCCGAGGCGGUGUCUAACCACUCAUCCUCGAUCUCCCCAGUCGGCUCCGAGUUAAGGGUCGGAGCGGACUCGUGUGUGGCCUCCAGGGCACUGUCCGGCAGCAGAGCUAAAUCAUGCCCAUCGAGACAGUGCGGCGCGCUCGGCUGUGGCUCGAAUCCAUCGAAGAUCAAGUCUCCGCGGAUGUCAGCCGUGAAGUUCAGACUUCCAAAUCUGACCUGAUGGCCAGGGGCAUAGCAUUCAAUUUGCUCCAAAUGGCCAAGCGAAUUGGCCCGCAGUGCAAAGCCGCCGAAUACGAAGAUCUGUCCGGGGAGAAAAGUCUCACCCUGGACCGCGUCGUUGUUGAUGAUCGAAGGAGCCAUCAAGCCUAUCGGUGACGACACAGAGGAAAUCUCAAUGAAAGCACCAAUGUCGGUGUCAAAACCGGCGGAUCUCGGGUAGGGGGUCCCGAACUCUGCGUCUAGGCGAAUGGUAACAGGAGACAAGGGACACGAUGUUUUUACCCAGGUUCGGGCCCUCUCGAUGGAGGUAAAACCCUACUCCUGCUUGAUUGAUAUUGAUGAUAUGGGUAGUACAAGAGUGGAUCUACCACGAGAUCAAGGAGGCUAAACCCUAGAAGCUAGCCUAUGGUAUGAUUGUUGUUGUUGUUGUGUCCUACGGACUAAAACCCUCCGGUUUAUAUAGACAACGGAGAGGGCUAGGGUUACACAGAGUCGGUUACAAUGGUAGGAGAUCUACAUAUCCGUAUUGCCAAGCUUGCCUUCCACACCAAGGAAAGUCCCAUCCGGACACGGGACGAAGUCUUCAAUCUUGUAUCUUCAUAGUCUUGGAGUCCGGCCGAUGAUGAUAGUUCGGCUAUCCGGACACCCCCUAGUCCAGGACUCCCUAAGUUACUAUCUCCAGGAAUUUAAAAACGGUGAAAGGCCAGAAUCUGCGAAGGAAGAAACAAAAGGAAACAGGAAGAGAGAUCCAAUCUUAGAGGGGCUCUCAGCUCCUCUGUCGCCAUGGAGGCCAAGGACAAGAGGGGGAAACCCUCCUCCCAUCGAGGGGAAUGCCAGGGAAGAAGAGCAAGGAGGGGGGCUCUCUCCACCUCUCUCCUGGUGGCGCUGAAACGCCGCCGGGGCAAUCAUCGUGUGAUGGUGAUCUACUCCAACAACUCUGUCAUCUUCACCAACACCUCCAUCACCUUUCCCCAUCUAUCUAUAAUGGUCCACUCUCCCGCAACCCGUUGUACCCUCUACUUGAACAUGGUACUUUAUGCUUCAUAUUAUUAUCCAAUGAUGUGUUGCCAUCCUAUGAUGUCUAAGUAGAUUGUUGUUGUGCUAUCGGGUAAUUGGUGAAUUGGUAUGAUUGGUCUAAUUUGCUUGUGGUUAUGUUUCUGUCCUUUGGUGCCCAUCAUAUGAGUGCGCGUGUUGAUCAUACCAUAGGGUUAGUUGUAUGUUGAUAAGACUAAGCAUUGGAGGGCAAGGGUGAGAGCAGCUUCAGCCUACCAUAGAAAUUGAUUCAUACAGGAUUGAAGGGGGGACCAAUAUAUAUUUUAAUGCUAUGGUUGGGUUUUACCUUAAUGAAUGUUAGUAGUUGCGGAUGCUUGCUAAUAGUUCCAAUCAUAAGUGCAUAGAAUUCCAAGUAAGGGAUGACAUGCUAGCAGUGGCCUCUCCCACAUAAAAACUUGCAUCGUUCUUGUAACGUAGUCAAUUGCUUAGGGACAAUUUCGCAAAUCCUUCCACCACUUUUCCACACUCAUUAAACUAAGUUAAUAGUUUCUUUAUCUAAACAGCACAUGACUUUUAUUUUCACGCUCUUUAUUAUCUUGCAAAGUUAUCCUAUCACACCUACAAAGUACUUAUAGUUUCAUACUUGUUCUAGGUAAAGUAUAGUUGUAUCGGUAGUCGAUAGAACUUGAAGGGAAUACAAAUCCUAGCUUUAGCUCCUCGUUGGCUUCGACACUCUUAUUUAUCGAGAAAGGCUACAACUGAUCCCCUAUACUUGUGGGUUAUCACCCAUGGUCGAUAGACGGCCACCGCACCACACUCAACAUCUUGACCACGGGUUCGUCCAAGGCUCCAUCGUCCUCCACAACAUCUUGUUUCCAGCGAACCGCAAGAAGAAGAUCAUCAAAGAAAAACAGAAGGAGGACACAACUUCUUCAAGUUUUAAAGUCCCCUAUUUUUGUGAUAUUUUUAAGGGAUUAAUUUGUGAUAUUUAAUUGUACAUAUACAAUAGUUGAGACGUGUCUUGCACAUGUAUAUUGACUAGUAAUUUUCAAAUACUCAGAGUUAAGUUAUAUCACAUCUAGGAAACAUACUAUUCCAUCUGUUUUGAAAAUAUAGGUAUUUGCUUUCACAAGAACCUACAAUGCACAGCUUUCAAUAUUUUCUCUUGCAAUGUGCAUAAUGAAUAAUGAAACUAUAUAUAACAUGAAAGAGUUUUGUAAGGCAAAGACAAGGAUAUUAUUCUUUCAUGUUCAGUCUAUAUACUUACAUGUAUCGAUGGUCAAAAUACUACGGUAAUCCCUCCGUCCCAUAAUAUAAGAACGUUUUUUACCCUAGUAUAGUGUUAAAAAGUUCUUAUAUUAUGAGGCAGAGGGAGUAGCUAUUAUUGUAGAGGUUGUUGUGCUAGUAUGUUUUUCAGAGAAAAUCAUCCCAUCAGCAUUCAAUCAAUUUUAUAUUAGAAAAAUGAAACAUGGAUCAUAUAAAACCAUAUCCAAAUAUUUCCUUUUCGCGCUAGGCCGCAAAGGGGACUUUAAAAUUCUGAUUUCCAUUUCUCAGAAUUAGGCCCAUUUGCCCACAUGCGCCCACUAGGCCGGGACCCGGGAGAACUAGAUGCCGGACCUCGUGAUUUUCUUUGAUGUGAGUUCUAGCUUACCAGAGGGUGUGAAGAAAUGAUUUCCUUGUCUGUAUUUGGAUUUUUUCCGGAAAUCAGAUGGUUUUAUUUGUGCGCAGUAAAAUACAAGAGUACGUAUACUAUUCUAAUACAUAUUCAAUUUUACGAAGUUGCCGAUCCGAACCGGGCCUAAACGGCAACUCUAUACAAUGUUCAGAGGCUUUUUGUUGUCUUUUCAGUUUUGUCAUGUUGAUCUUUACGUGACUUGUACUUUGUCAUUUAUGGUAUAUAUGAGACACGUUUUACCGUGAAAAAAACGCAAACUCUACACGAACAGCCAGCCACAGAGUUGCUCGUCUGCCGUGCUGCGGAGACGAUCACCUUGCACGAACGGGUCUUGCGCUCCCCGCCUAUAAAGGCCGGGCACGUGGGCACCUGGCCACGCUAGAAUCAACCGUGCACCUUCCUCCUGUUGCAGAAUUGACGGCGAGCUCACCGAUCCGAUCACAGUGCGUCGCAACAAAAGUAACUGACUUGUAGUAUGUCCACCUCGCUCGUGUUCUAUUCGCCACUUGGCGCGCACUGUUCUACGGGUCGAGGUCAUCCAGCUCAGGACGGGGCCACGCUAUGAUUCCUUUGGGUGCACUUUAUCAGCCCUGAGAUUACCAUUUUUUUACAUUUGUUUUUUCGGUUCUCUUUUGAAGUCAUGAUGCCAUCGUUCCAGAAUCUCUUCGAAUGCUCUACUGAAAUUUUGUAGGAAUUUGAAUUUAAAAAAAAUGCAGGUAUGACCCGAAAGAAUAUGCUUAGUGAUCUUUUAGAAAACAUGCAAGUAAGUAAAACCCCGACAAGAUUUAUGGAACGGAGGGAGUACAAAAUUAUGGUGCAUGAUGGGAAUAUACAUACUCUCUCCGUUUCAAAAUAUAGUGCUUCCUCUAUUCCCGUGCUUCAACUUUGACCAUAAAUUUAGCCAACAAGACCGACUGCGGCGGGAGCAAAAGUUAUACCAAUGAAUUCGUAUUCAAAAGAAGUUUUUAAUUAUAUAUUUUUUUCUUCCGCCGCAGUCGUCUCGUUGGUUAAAUUUAUGGUCAAAGUUGAACCUCGAAAAGAGCGGGCGCACUAUAUUUUGGAAUGGAGGGAGUACUGUUUGUGGUGUCAACCUUCUCAUUCAAUAUGAUAAAUAGGUCUAAGGAACUCCAGGAAGGCCAACAACUCUCUACAAAUGCUCAUAUGCUAGGAGAUUGGAAUGCGAGGAACGCUAGGGUGUUCUGUUCCAGAGCUUCCCUUUCGUCUGGAGUGGUCGCGGCGAUUAAGGAUGAGGCAAAGACCUGGUUUGUCGUCGGGGCUAGAAUUUUGGGCAGCUUAAUUCCGGAAGAGUGAUCCUCGUGUUUCGGACCUGUGUGGUCCUGUGACCUUUAAAACAUUGUCUUACCCUUCUUAAUUGAUGAGAUGAGGCGAAGCUUUUGCCUCUGUUUCAAAAAAAUUCCCAAUUCCUUAGUUCAAACAAGCCUUAGACGUCCUGUUGUAAUUUAACCAAUAUCAUUGCUCUGUUUUUUCUUAUGUUUUGCUUGAUACUAAAAUUGCCUAUGCUCCAAAGUAAAGAAUAAACAUCCAACCUAUGCACACCAAACACAAAAAGGCACAUUCCCUUCGUUGUCAUGGUGUUCAUGGUUCAGGUAAAGGUAUUUGUGUACAUUGGCAUUGGUGAAUAGUACCACUAUUCAAUAAUAUUGACAUGAUUAUUCUCACAAGUGAUUUUUUUUCGUUCACAUAGUUUCACUACAUACAGUUAGGUUCUGUAUAUUAUGUUUUGCAUCUUUUUUCUAAUUAUCCAUUCUAGGAAAUCAUAAUCGUAAGACCAUAACCACUAGUAGAAAAGGGGGCAAUGGUCCAGGCCGGGCCAGACCAUUAGUCCCUGUUCAAUCCAGAACCGGGACCAAUGGGGGCAUUGGACCCGGUUCGUGAGCCCCGGGGGCCGGCCGGGCCACGUGGGCAAUUGGUCCCAGUUUGACUGGACCUAUUGGUCCCGGUUGGUGGGACGAACCGGGACCAAUGGGCCUGGCUCCUGGCCCACCACCAUUGGUCCCGGUUGGUGGCUUGAACCGGGACCAAAGGCUGCCCUUUAGUCCCGGUUCGAGCUGCGAACCGGGACCAAUUACUUGCCUAUAUAUACCCCUCGCCCACGAGCAGAGCACUCCCAGUGCUCUGUUUUUCAUGGCCGGCGAGGGGAGAGCUUUGUGGUGCUAUAGCUCACCUCCUAUGCACACGAGGUGUUCGAUGGAAUGCCCGAGCCACACUACUUAAGCUUUCUCCUCUCCAAGCUCGACCUCCAAGCUCCAUUUUCCUCAAUAUUUGUCUAGGUUUAGCGGUCCGUCACGUCCCGUCCCCGUCUUCACCACCGUCGAUCGCCCGCGCCGAUCUCGUCGCCGGCACCACCGUGGUGAGCCUCUUGUUCUUAUCUUCUUUCUGAAAGGAAAAAAAAUUCUUACUUGUAUGUUUAUAUAGAUACUUGUAUAAUUUUCUUACUUUUAUUAUUGCAUAUUAUAUAGUGCGAUGGUUUUGGUAUCCGCCCCCGUCGGCCCUCGUCCUGUCUAUGAUUCGGAUGUGGUAUAUAUUAUCUUUUCAUAAUUAUUGGUUCAUUUAUUGUUUAUGACAAUUAUGCCGACCAACGUGACAUAGAUUUUAUUUAUCUAGGAGGUUGUUGAACCGGAAAUUCCAACCGACCCUAUUGUCGAGAGGUUAAAUUUAGUUAAAGAAGAAAACAAUUUGUUGAAGGAAAAAAUUAGAAAAAUUGAGGAGGAGAAGAUGAUAUUGGAGUUGCAUGUUGCGGAUGUCGUCGAUGAUCACAAGAUCAAGAUGGAUGCAAUGCGCUUGAAGAUUAGAAAGAUUAGAAAAUAUGCCAUUCAUACUGAGGCUUGGUAUCAUUAUGCCGUUGGAUCAGUUGUUACAUUGGUUGCGAUUAUGAUCGCAUUUGUUUUCGCAUUGAAAUGUUUUACAUAGUUUCAGUGUAUGGUUUAAUUAAUUUAGAUGCUCUGCAGAGCUUUAUGUUGUUAGAUAAGAACUAUGUAUGUACUUUGGUUUUAAUGUGAUGAUGAACUUCUAUUAAUUUGGUCACUUAAUUAUCUAUUCAUGAUGUUCUGUAAUGAUUUUUGGCACACUUAAUUAUAUAUAAUGCACGCAGAUGAACCGGCAAUGGAUGUACGGUUCAAGACACACACCUGCGAGUACAUUAAGGGCGUGCAUGAUUUUCUCGAAGUGGCUGAGGCAAACAAGGAGAAUGGUUUUAUGUGUUAUCCAUGCCCUAUAUGUGGGAAUACGAAGUCUUACUCUGACCGGAAAAUCCUCCACACCCACCUGCUUUACAAGGGUUUCAUGCCACACUCUAAUGUUUGGACGAGGCACGGAGAAAUAGGGGUUAUGAUGGAAGACGGCGAAGAAGAAGAGUACGAUGACAACUAUGUGCCCCCUGAAUACGGUGAUGCUACUGAAGAUCAAGAGGAACCAGACGAUGUGCACGAUGAUGCUGCAACGGGCGAAGCUGCUGAAGAUCAAGAGGAACCAGACGAUGUGCCCGAUGAUGUUGAUCUCCGCCGGGUCAUUGUCGAUGCAAGGACGCAAUGCGAAAGUCAAAAGGAGAAGCUGAAGUUCGAUCGCAUGUUAGAGGACACACAAAAAAGGGUUGUACCCCAAUUGCGAAGAUGGCAACACAAAGCUCGGUACCGUACUGGAAUUGCUGCAGUGGAAGGCAGAGAAUGCUGUGCCUGACAAAGGAUUUGAGAAGCUACUGAAAAUAUUGAAGAAGAAGCUUCCAAAGGAUAACGAAUUGCCCGACAGUACAUACGCAGCAAAGAAGGUCGUAUGCCCUCUAGGAUUGGAGGUGCAGAAGAUACAUGCAUGCCCUAAUGACUGCAUCCUCUACCGCGGUGAGUACAAGGAUCUGAACGCAUGCCCGGUAUGCGGUGCAUUACAGUAUAAGAUCAGACGAGAUGACCCUGGUGAUGUUGACGGCGAGCCCCCCAGGAAGAGGGUUCCUGCGAAGGUGAUGUGGUAUGCUCCUAUAAUACCAUGGUUGAAACAUCUGUUCAGAAACGGAGAGCAUGCCAAGUUGAUGCGAUGGCACAGUGAGGACCGUAAGAAAGACGGGAAGUUGAGAGCACCCGCUGACAGGUCGCAUUGGAGAAAAAUCGAGAGAAAGUACUGGGAUGAGUUUGCAAGUGAGACAAGGAACGUAUGGUUUGCUUUAAGCGCGGAUGGCAUUAAUCCUUUUGGGGAGCAGAGCAGCAAUCACAGCACCUGGCCCGUGACUCUAUGUAUGUAUAACCUUCGUCCUUGGAUGUGCAUGAAGCGGAAGUUCAUUAUGAUGCCAGUUCUCAUCCAAGGCCCUAAGCAACCCGGCAACGACAUUGAUGUGUACCUAAGGCCAUUAGUUGAAGAACUUUUACAGCUGUGGAAUGGAAACGUUGUACGUAAGUGGGAUGAGCACAAACAGAAGGAAUUUAACCUAAAUGCGUUGUUGUUCGUGACCAUCAACGAUUGGCCCGCUCUCAGUAACCUUUCAGGACAGACAAACAAGGGAUACCACGCAUGCACGCACUGUUUACUUGACACCAAUAGUAUAUACCUGGCAAGCUGCAGGAAGAAUGUGUACCUGGGCCAUUGUCGAUUUCUUCCGACCAACCAUCAAUGUCGAAAGAAAGGCAAGCAUUCCAAAGGCGAGGCAGAUCACCGGAAGAAGCCCGCCAUGCGUACCGGUGAUCACGUACUUGCUAUGGUCAAUGAUUUACACGUAAUCUUUGGAAAGGGUCCCGGCGGACUAACUGUUCCGAGUGACGCUGGGGGACACACACCCAUGUGGAAGAAGAAAUCUAUAUUUUGGGACCUACCCUACUGGAAAGACCUAGAGGUCCGCUCUUCGACCGACAUGAUGCACGUGACGAAGAACCUUUGCGUGAACCUGCUAGGCUUCUUGGGCGUGUAUGCGAAGACAAAAGAUACAACUGAGGCACGGGAGGACCUGCAACGUUUGCACGAAAAAGAUGGCAUGCCUCCAAAGCAGUAUGAAGGUCCUGCCAGCUAUGCUCUUACCAAAGAAGAGAAGGAAAUCUUCUUUGAAUGCCUGCAUAGUAUGAAGGUCCCGACUGACUUCUCGUCGAAUAUAAAAGGAAUAAUAAAUAUGGCAGAGAAAAAGUUUCAGAACCUAAAGUCUCAUGACUGCCACGUGAUUAUGACGCAACUGCUUCCGGUUGCAUUGAGGGGGCUUCUAUCAGAAAACGUCCGAUUAGCCAUUGUGAAGCUAUGUGCAUUCCUCAAUGCAAUCUCUCAAAAGGUGAUCGAUCCAGAAAUCAUACCAAGGCUAAGGAGUGAUGUGGUGCAAUGUCUUGUCAGUUUCGAGCUGGUGUUCUCCUAGUUCAUCUAGUUGACGAGAUUGUCAUUCUGGGCCCCGUAUUUCUACACAAUAUGUACCCCUUUGAGAGGUCCAUGGGAGUCCUAAAGAAAUAUGUCCGUAACCGCGCUAGGCCAGAAGGAAGCAUCUCCAUGGGCCAUCAAACAGAGGAUGUCAUCGGGUUUUGUGUUCACUUCAUUCCUGGCCUUAAGAAGAUAGGUCUCCCUAAAUCGCGGUAUGAGGGGAGACUGACUGGAAAAGGCACGCUUGGAAGGGGCUCAAUAAUAUGCAGGGACGGAUAUUCUUGGUCUCAAGCACACUACAUAGUUCUACAGAACUCUACCUUGGUGACCCCGUAUGUCGAUGAACACAAGAACAGUGUGCGCUCCAAACACCCGGAGCAGUGCAACGACUGGAUUACAUGUGAACACAUCAAGACUUUCAGCAGUUGGUUGGAAGCACGUAUCAGAGGUGACAACACUGUUUGUGAUGAGCUGUACUUGUUGUCCAGGGGACCAUCUUUGACUGUAUUGAUUUGGAAAGGAUACGAGAUAAAUGGGAAUACAUUUUACACGAUUGACCAAGAUCAAAAGAGUACCAACCAAAACAGCGGUGUCCGCUUUGAUGCAACAACCGAGAGGGGAAAGGACACAUAUUAUGGUUACAUAGUGGACAUGUGGGAACUUGACUACGGACAUGAUUUUAAGGUCCCUUUGUUUAAGUGCAAAUGGGUCAAUCUGUCAGGAGGCGGGGUACAGGUAGACCCACGGUACGAAAUGACGAACCGUUCGUCCUAGCCAAUGAUGUGGCACGGGUUAUCUAUGUGAAGGACAUGUCUACCAGACCGAGAAAGAGAAAAGAUAAGGAAGCGAAUACAUCAUACGAUGAGCCAAAGCGCCACAUAGUUCUUUCAGAAAAAAGGGACAUUGUGGGAGUGGAGGGCAAGACAGACAUGUCUGAAGAUUAUGAAAAGUUUCAUGAAAUUCCUCCCUUCAAAGUCAAGGCUGACCCCAGCAUCCUGAUAAACGAUGAAGAUUAUCCAUGGUUACGGCGCAAUAAGCAAAUGACACAAGCGAAGAAAAAAUGAAGACUUUCUCCCGCAACUAUUAUGAUGAUACCAUGCCAACUUUGUAACUGACGAGUAUGAUACCAUUGUCCGUUUUGUACAUGCACAUGCUAUGUGGGUCAAUUUAUGAUACCAUGCCAACUUUCAACUUUUUCAGAGUUCAUUUCAAAUGCUUUAAUGUCUUAUGGUUCGGCCCUCGUAAUAAUUAAAAAUAGAAACAAUAAGUAUUUUGUUGUAAGUAGAAACAAAAUAAAAUAAAUAAAGCAAGACAGAAAACAAAAAAACAAAAAAAGCGUUUUCAAAUUUGAAAACUAAUGGCACUAACAGAAAGUUUAUAAUUUUCCUAAAACUAAAAGCAAAAAGAAUUGAAAAAUAAAGCAAAAAACAAAAGAAAAUAGAUAAUGCAGAAAACAAAACAAAAAACAACAAUAAGUAUUUUGUUGUAAGUAGAAACAAAAUGAAAUAAAUAAAGCAAGAAAGAAAACAAAAAAACAAAAAAUGUGUUUUCAAAUUUGAAAACUAAUGGCACUAACAGAAAGUUUAUAAUUUUCCUAAAACUAAAAGAAAAAAGAAUUAAAAAAUAAUGCAGAAAACAAAAGAAAAUAAAUAAUGCAGAAAACAAAACAAAAUACUGGGAAAAAACUAAAAAUAGCAACAAUAAGUAAAGAAAACAAAAAAACAAAAAAAAUGCCUCCUACUAGGCCCCUACGGCCUGAAUAUGACAUGAAACCCUACAAUGGGCCAGGAUUCAGGCCCGCAGUAGGCCCAGAAGGCCCAUCAGGCAAAGCAAUAGCAAGUAGGCCCGAAAGCCUACGGUGGAGAGGAGCUCGAGAGGGGUGCAGUAGUGGGGCUUAUAAACCACUGCGCACCCCUCUCAACUAGCGAGGUGGGACUAAACUUUAGCCCCGACGCGGGUAGCACAGGGGCCUUUGGUCCCAGUUGGUGGCACCAACCAGGACUAUAGGGGGGAGGCAUUGGUCCCGGUUGGUGGCACCAACCGGUACCAAAGGCCGCCGCUUCCCGCCCUUUGGGCUGCCGAAAAAGAGGCCUUUGGUCCUGGUUGGUGGCUCCAACCGGGACUAAAGGGGUGCAUUAGUCCCGGUUGGUUUCACGAACCGGGACCAAUGGCUUUGCUAUAUAAGCAGCACUUUGCAAAAAUUGAGAAUCUCAUCGCCAGUUGCCCCCGACAACACCGACCCUCCUCGACGCCGCCAGGCUGCUCCACCUCGCUGUCGCCGCCGCCGCCGCCAAGGCCGUCGCCUCCCCGAGCGUGCGCCGUCCUCGUCGCCGGCCUCCCCGNNNNNNNNNNNNNNNNNNNNNNNNNNNNNNNNNNNNNNNNNNNNNNNNNNNNNNNNNNNNNNNNNNNNNNNNNNNNNNNNNNNNNNNNNNNNNNNNNNNNNNNNNNNNNNNNNNNNNNNNNNNNNNNNNNNNNNNNNNNNNNNNNNNNNNNNNNNNNNNNNNNNNNNNNNNNNNNNNNNNNNNNNNNNNNNNNNNNNNNNNNNNNNNNNNNNNNNNNNNNNNNNNNNNNNNNNNNNNNNNNNNNNNNNNNNNNNNNNNNNNNNNNNNNNNNNNNNNNNNNNNNNNNNNNNNNNNNNNNNNNNNNNNNNNNNNNNNNNNNNNNNNNNNNNNNNNNNNNNNNNNNNNNNNNNNNNNNNNNNNNNNNNNNNNNNNNNNNNNNNNNNNNNNNNNNNNNNNNNNNNNNNNNNNNNNNNNNNNNNNNNNNNNNNNNNNNNNNNNNNNNNNNNNNNNNNNNNNNNNNNNNNNNNNNNNNNNNNNNNNNNNNNNNNNNNNNNNNNNNNNNNNNNNNNNNNNNNNNNNNNNNNNNNNNNNNNNNNNNNNNNNNNNNNNNNNNNNNNNNNNNNNNNNNNNNNNNNNNNNNNNNNNNNNNNNNNNNNNNNNNNNNNNCCGCUGUGAGCCGCCGUGCCGCACCGGCUCUAUUUUUUUUUUCAUUUUUAUUAGUUUAAUUUUUUUUGUUCAAUGUAUAUGUGUAUGUAUGUGGCUAUAUAUGCGGCUCUGUUUUUCUCAUUUUUAUUAGUUUAGUUUUUUUGUUCAUAUAUAUAUAUAAUGUAUAUGUGUAUGUAUGUGGCUAUGUGUAUGUAGAUGUUCAAAAUGUAUAAAAAAAUUGUUCAGAGCAUGUUUUUGUUCAUAUAUGUAUUUUUUGUUCAUAUGUGUAUUAAUGUUUUCAUAUAUGCAAAAGAUAGAUUUUUAGAAAAGUUAGGUUUUUUUCUGUUCAUAGAUUUUUUUUGGUGAUAUUAAUUGUAGAAUAUGCAAAUGUUUGUAUAUUCAUAUGAACAAUGCAUUAGGCAAAACCUUUGUUUUUUCUCGAAAUUUUCUAUUUGAACAUUUUUUUUAAAACAAGCAAUACUAAAAGAAUGAGAGGAAAAAGGAAAAUAAGAAGAGGAAGAAAGGAGAAGAAGAGGAGAGGAAUAAGAGGAGAAAUAAAUAAGAAGAGGAAAAAAGAAGAAAAAGAAGAGGAGAAGAAGAAAGGAAUAGAGGAGGAGAAGAAAAAAUAGAAUUUCUAUUUUUCUUCUUCUCCUCUAUUCCUUUCUUCUUCUUCUCCUCUAUUCCUUUCUUCUUCUCCUCUUUUUUUUCUUCUUUUUUUUCUUCUUCCUUCUUCCUCUUUUCUUCCUUUUCCUUAUUUUCCUUUCUCGAGGGAGAAGAAGAAAAAGAAGAGUAGAAGAAGAAGAAAGGAAUAGAGGAGAUACAAGAAACUUCAACACGAGGGGGGGGGGUACCGAUACCCCCUUCCCGAUAACAUUAUUUUCCCAUGUAUAUGUAUGUCGCGUCAUUGUCGAUAUAACCCCCUCGAAAUAACUUCGACAUGACGGGCGGUCGAUAUAUAUACCCCCUCUCGACCGUGAUAACUUAUACAAUGGCAGCACCCCCCUCGGCCCUCUCGCUCGACCAAAACUCUCGAGGACACCCAAACCCUAGAGAGAAAACGAUGUUGGUCUCCUACCCCCUCCCGCCGCUCCCCUACCCGACAAAUUAACUCUCUCGAGGCCACCCAAAUUUACCAAGUUAAAAGAGUGUUGUCGUCGAGGCCAUCCCAAACCCUAGAGAAGCAGCGUCGAGGCCACUAACAUGAUUCCUUAUUGUGAUUAGCUAGCUAGUUCUACGUUUGCCACUAAUAUAUAUAUAUAUAUCCAUCUGUACCAUGUUUGAAUAAUAAUUGACAUGUUGUAAAUAUUUGCAGAAACUAUGGAGCACUCCCGAGACGAAGAAACAGAAGCGAUGUUGGGGGACAUAAUCGCACAAGGAAGUGAUGAAGUUGCGUCAUUUCUCAACGACACCGAUGGUCAGGAAGGACUGGGUGAAGAAGAGGGCUAUGUUCAUGAUGGCUUCGGCCCAUUAAUGCCGGUAGAAGAAGAGGACUAUGUUCAUGAUGGCUCCGGUGACACAAUGGAGGUACAAGAAGGAGACCGUGCUGACUGCUCCGGUGACCGAACCGAGUCCGACCAGGUAUAUAUAUAUUAGUUAGCCCGUGCUGAAUAGUUAAUUGAUGCUUCCAUUGUUUUGGUAUAUGUACACAUAUUAAUUACUCUCAUCUUUCUUCCUUAUAAUUUCUAGCCCUCCGGAUCGAGCACAACUUUGGUAAGGAGACGAGGCCCAAAGAAAAAGUUGAACUCGGAUGAAAAGUUUGAGAUCAUAGAAAUCGCGCCCGACGGCGAACCUAUUGAACCCAUCCGGACAAGGAAGGCAUUUUCUGCUCAGUGCGGGGUUCUUGUUAGGGACAAGAUCCCGAUCAGCAUCCAUCAAUGGUAUAAGCCUAAGGAGGAAGACCCUGAGGUGUCUUAUGUCAAUGAUAUGCAGAAAGAAGAUCUUUGGACUCAGCUGAAGGCAAAUUUCACCCUACCGCCAGAGGAGGAUCCGGAGAAGCCAGUUAAAGAGCAAUUAAUCAUGUCUUUUGCUCUUAAGAAGAUGGCAACCCUAAUGAGGAGGUGGAGGAAAGAGCUGAACCAGUUUGUCGAGAAAGAAAAGACACCAGAAUUCAUCGGCAAAUAUGAGAAGAUCAAAGAUCACUAGCCCGCAUUUGUGGCCUACAAGACAUCGGAAAAGAGUAAGAAGAUGUCGGUGACAAACAAGCAAAAUGUUGUGAAGAAGAAGCUUCAUGAUCGCAUGGGGUCAGGUGGCUACCUCAAAGCCCGGCCUAAGUGGUCCAAGGCUGAGCAUGAUCUGCUUGAAAAAGGGAUCAAACCAGAGACAAUGUACUGGCCAGACAGUUGCCGGACUUGGUUCUUCGGGGCUGGUGGGACCUUGGACCCUCUAACAGGGAAGUGCCAAUGGAUGGAUGAGCAACUGCAAAUACCAGUCAAGAACCUUCGACACUAUAUCGAUGCAGCGCAGCGAGGGACGUUCCUUCCAAACAGGGAGAAGGACGAGCUCACAAUGGCCCUUGGGAAUCCUGAGCACCCUGCACGGACACGAGGCACGCCAGGCUCAAUUCCGUGGAAGGUUGGUUUUCCGGACGCAGGGGGUUACAAAACCCAUGAGAGGAGGAAGAAACUGGAGCAGGACCAACUGCAGGUGCUGCACGAAAGGGUAAUGGGGCUAGAGAACAAGAAGAGGAACGGGAAGCAGCAGAUCGCAGCAAACGACCUGCCGAAGCUUCCCCCGAAGCUACCCCACCAUCUCAGCGGAGAAGUAGCGUGGCUUCCACCGAGCUGCUUCAGUCGGAGCAUGUCUUGACGGCUCCUGCCAGCUAUCCCGUGGAUGAUAUCACGGAGUCUCAAAAUUGCCACAUUAUGGCGCGAUGGAUGAAUUUGAAGGUCAAGGCAGCUGUUGGCCAAGUUUAUCCUAGUGGACCUGGCACAACUUAUCACUGCCAGCCGAUUCCAGAAGGAUAUGCUAAGGUGAUGGUGGAUGAAAUAACGGAGGGAUUUGAGGACCUCGUGCUUGACCACCCUACCGGUGAAGGGGAGACUAGGCUGGGUUCUGCUCUGAAGACUCCAUGCCUAUGGCGGAAGGAGCUCAUUAACCUUCCGAACUGGACGCCUUCGCCUCCUCCUCCUCCUCCUCCGGCGAGUCAGGGAACUCCGCCUCCUCCACCGCCUCCUCCUCUGGCGAGUGACGAUCAGGGCACGCGUGGCGGCACUCCGCCUCCUUCUCCGCUUGCGCCGGCGCUCCCGAGCAGCCAGCAGCCUCCUCCUUCUUCGCCUCGCCAGCAAGGGCGGAAGAGACCCGCCACCGCCACGGCUGCUCCGGCGCAUCGUAUUCCUUCUCCUCCGCCUCGUAAGCAAGCACGAAAGAAGACAGACGCCGCAGCCGCUCCGUCUACUCCGGCAUCUAGCAGCACAAGAAGAGGAGAGAGGCAAUACAGAUACGGUCCACCUCUAAAGCCUCUAGAGAAGUUACCAUACGAGAGGACCGAGGAGGAAAACAAUAUGAUCGUGCAGACCCAUGCGAAGGAGUUCUUUGAAGGGGUGAAUGCAAAGAGACAUCCACCUCCGGAGGAGAAGGUAGAUCCUGUCAGGACCCCCGACUCAAUGCCACAUCGAUCUAGCAUGGAACACCUCAUAUCACUUUGCGGCCUCACGCACGGUAUCCCCACGGGUGUCGCCUUACCUUUGCCCGGUACCGUUUGAGCCUUUUGGCACACGUAUAUGAUAGUGUCGCUAGCAUCCAUAUGAUAAGGAGCCCGGGCUAACAUGGCUAGUCGUAAACCCAAAGUGGCACAAACUUACAGGGACAGGCAUCCAUGACCCAUCAUCGAACGUGUCGGUCAUCAGCGAGUGAAUCCAGGCUGUAGCACUGGGCUAGCAGGACUCCGGUGAACCGGGCUGUAGCGGGCUAACAGGACUCCGGUAUUCAUCGCGUGACAUUUCCCCGAAGGGACAGACACAAGAACGAAGAAGGACACAUGCCGGCCAGCCUAAGUGUUCCGGAGUAGUAGCAAGCUACCAUGGCUCAGUGGAAACACUAGGAGACAUUUCCCGGUAAGAGGGGCUACUAAGGAUAAACAACUAGAUAGUCAGAUCCCACACAUACCAAGCAUUUCAAUAACAUACACACAAUAUGCUCGAUAUGUGCAAAUACAACAUGUCAUCACAACAUGACUCUACAACUCAAGUAUUUAUUCAAUAGGCUCCGAGGAGCGAGAUAUUACAAACAUGGGUCUCAUGACCCAGCAUUCAGAGCACACAAGUCAAGCACAAGAGGAAGCUUAACAUGUCUGAGUACAGACAUCUACAAAUGAAAAAGGCUAAGAAGCCUGACUAUCUACCAGAUCCUGCCGAGGACACAAGAUCGUAGCUGAGGUAACAAGCUAAAUGUCGAAGUCCACGCGAAACUACUAGCGAGACUGAAGUCUCUCUGCAAAAAACAUAAAUUAAGCAACGUGAGUACAAAUGUACCCAGCAAGACUUACAUCAGAACUAACAACAUAUGCAUCAUUAUCAACAAAGGGGAUGGUGGGGUUUAACUGCAGCAAGCCAGCUUUGACUCGGUGGCUAUCCUGAACUACGACUGCAAAUAACUCUUUUGAGGUGGCGCACACGAGUCCACAUAUUCACCAUAUCAAUACACCACUAUGGAUCCGCUCCCGUCUCCCUACGAGAACGCCAUCCAUAGCACUCACACUUAUCUUGCGCAUUUUAGAGUAUCCACUUUCACUUCUCUAUGAACUGUACAGGCAACCCAGAAGUCCUUUACAGCGGACACGGCUAUUCGAAUAGAUCAUAUUAACCCUGCAGGGGUGUACUUCUUCACACAUGCUCUCACCACUUACCGCCGUUUACACGACAUGUACUCGGCAACCUUCAAGGGGAAGCCCAGCGAGGGUGUCAGCCACGACCUGACUAACCACACAAGUCUCUCAUCCAGGUUUAUUGCCUAUUCGGGUUCCAUCCGCAAGGAGAUCCGGCCGGGGUGUCGCUCACGGCCCCAAACAAUGUGAGCAGGGUUCCCAAGCCCACCAUCUAGGUGCCACUUGGUACACCGUGCCACUGUGCCUAGUCUGUCCCAAGCCCACUUGUACCGGGUGCAACUUGGUAGACUACUAACACUACCUACAAACACCAGAAACUAGUUGCAACUCCUGGACAGAGAUCGAGUUGAUUAAUAAGUCGAGAGAGUCAAUUAAGGAUCCCAAUGUGUGGUAGUAGUUGUUCAUGGAUCACAAACACAGAACUUGGUUCCUGUGGACGGCUGCAAUGAGACAACCCACCAUGUACUCCUACAUGGCCUCUCACCGCUACCUUUACCAAAUUGUGUUCACACACUUAGCUCUCAACAGUAGGACAUGUUCACCACAUUCCAAUUCAUCCCCGAUGAAUCAGACCUGACACAACCCUAAGAAAUAGCAGGCAUGACAAACAAACAUGAAUGAGUAGGCACAUCAGGGCUCGAACAACUCCUACUCAUGCUAGUGGGUUUCAUCUAUUUACUGUGGCAAUGACAGGUCAUGCAGAGGAUAAAGGGGUUCAGCUACCGCAGCAAGUAAUAGUUGAAUCGGUGUUGUCCUAAUGCAGUAAAAGAGAGCAGGAGCGAGAGAGUGGGAUUGUAUCGGAAUGAACAACGGGGUUUUGCUUGCCUGGCACUUCUGAAGAUAGUAUAAUUCUUCAUUGGUGUCAUUGAUCACAUCGUCGGUAUCACGUCUAUCGAGAGGGGACAAAUACCGGCAAACAAGGAAGAACACAAUCAAUGCAAUGCACAAUAUGAUGCAUGAUCAUGACAUGGCAAUAUGCUGUGAUUUGAGCUAAUGCAACUAGCAGCAAGUUAAAUGGAGUUGGUCUGAACCCUAGGUUCAAAUUCAAACUCCACAUGUGAUUAUUUAAAUGCCAUUCAUAUGAUUUGUCCUAAACAGCAACUAUAAGUUGUUCUAACAUGCAUGAAAAUGAUACAGAUGGAUAGAUUGGAUUUUUCUGAUAAUUUUUCAUAUAUAAUUUAUUUCAUUUGGAAUUACGGUUGAAUUUCUAUGAUUUUUACAAGUUUUAAACAUUUUUUGAAAUAAAUAAACCAUUUAAGAUUUAUUUAAAUUCCAGAAGAAUUACUGCGUCAGCAUGACAUCACUGUGAUGUCAGCGGACAACAGGGCCGGUCCAGGUCAAACCUGACCAGUGGGUCCCGUGUGUUAGUGUGAUUAGACUAGCUAAUGUUUAAUUAGUACUAAUCCAAGUUAAUUAGCAGGGCUGGCCCCACCUGUCAUUGACCCAGGGGGGUCAAACUGGGCCCACCCGAGGUCAAACUGGUCACCGGGUCAAACCUGCCGGCGGUUAGCCGCCGGCAAGGCCCGAGAUGCUGGAGGUGCUCGGAAAACCUCCACGGGGCUCGGAUCGAUGCGCUGAAGGCAUCCCUAUGGCGCUGGCGAUGCGCCGCGUCAGAUGGUUGUGGUCUCCGGGCCUGGGGUGGCCGGAAACAUCGACGGCGAGCACCUCAGCGGCGGCCGGAGUUCGGGUGGUUGCGGGGUUGGCGCUGCGGCUCACAAACGAGCCGGCUGUCGCGCUAGCGUUGCUCUACGGAGCGUUGCGAGUGGAACGGACUCACGUGCGGGGCCAUUUGGUCAUCGGGGCUUCACUGGCGACGAGCCCGUGCGGCGGCGGCUAUGACGAGCAAAGGGGCGACGUCUAUGGAGAUUAGAGAAAGCAGGGAAGAGGGUAGGUUGAUGCAGGGGCUCACAGUGGACACGCAUGGUGGAUCAACGGGCUCGGGGAGGCGUCAGAGACGGCGAAUCGACCGGCGAAGUCCGGCGAGUAGAUGUGGUGGUGACGAGCUCGAAGACGAUGGCGUGGUGAUCCUCGGCUUGCGUGGCUCGGCGAAGAGGAAGAGGAAGUCGCGGCAGACCUUCCAGACAUGGGGGAGGGACGAGGAGGUGGCUGUGGCCGUGGCGAACGGUGUCGGUGGCGAUGGUGGCGCUCAGGCACGAGGUUCAGAGCGAGAGAGAGGAGGGGAUGAGGACGAGGGAGUGGGCGAGAGGGUCCAGGGUGAUGCGUGGCGUCGUCCAGAUGCGUCGGGGCAGAAGUGUGAAGCAGGAGGUGGUGGGGCGCGUGCUCGCGCGCGGUGGCCAUGCGCCUCUCAUCCUCCUGGCAGGAGGUUGAGGGUGACUGGCACGGCGCUGUGGGCUGGGCCGCACAGUAGCAGGCCGGCCAGGCUGGACAGGUAGGCGCCAGGUAGGUCUUCUGCUCUUUUGUUUAUUGUUUCUGUUUUCUGUUAUUCUGCAACUUUGUGGCUUUAUUAAAAAUACUAAAUCAAUCCCAAAAAUCAUACAACUACUCCUGACCACUGUUGGAAAUAUAUCCUACAGUAAACAUUUCAGUUUGGGAUUAUUUGAGCAUUUAAAAUAUUUUAUAGCAUUUAAAUGCCCAAAUGCAAAUACUAUAUGAUUUAAUUCAGUGACCUUAUGAUGUCCUAGAAAAGUGUGCACCAUUUUUGUCAGAGGUUCUAACCCAAGGCAAAGAUGAUGAACAUUUUAGAAGGGCAUUUCAGGUUCAUUGAAAAAGAUUUUAGUAAACCCUAGUUGUCUUUAGGGGGGGUGUUGGGGGUUCUGUCAUCCCCAUUUCAUGUUUAUUUGAAAAAAAUUAAAAAUGAUGCACACAUAAAGGGCUAGCCUAGUGCAUGCCAAGACUAGGGAUGUGACAACUCGCCCCCACUAAACAAGAAUCUCGUCCCGAGAUUCAAGCGUAGGGUAAGAUGAAGGGGGAACGCAAACUAACACAAUCUUCACGAUCCAAGGUGCACUUCAUGAGAACCUUGAUUCAAUCACCAUCUUGUCUCGUCGUCUUGCUCUAAGAACUCAAGUCAACAUGACAAAGAGAGGAGAAGGAGACUCUAGAAGGAUCGAUCUUCUCGAAGAUCGAACAACUCAGGAUUAACUCACGGAAUGAGACAUAGCAACAUCUCUCGAGCUGGGACACGAAGCACACAUCUAGAGGAAUGAAGUGGAACAGAUGACGAGGGGUCACUAGGUAGACAACAAUUCCACACUUAAGAAGAUGGUGAACGGUAGUCAACGUAGCGAGGAGUUGAGUUGCCAUGAUACCAUACGGGGCACCUUAGGGAAGGUGACUUGUAGAAAUAUCCCCUUAAUUGGCAAAAAGAAUUACCUUUGAUUGAGAGAUCAUUGAAACUCUUUAUACCAGCCUAAGGCAAUUCUCAAGCGAUCGUUUGGAGGGGUUCGGUAGAAUGGCAUGCCCGAAUUAGAAUGGAUGAUGUGGAUUACCUUGUUGAAAACAACACAAGGGAUGACUUUAGUAACUGAGGAGAAGCUCAACAGUAGAGAGUGAGUCCACUUUUUGAGAAGCUAAAGCAUAAUCGAGGGAACUGAGAGCAAUCCCAGUUAGUGCCGAUGAUAACACCUAGCGCUUGCGCGUGCUCUCAAGAACUUGAGCAUUUCCAUAUUCAUCAAGGUUUUACCAAUAUCUGUGUCAAGGAUCCUGGCAACACAACUUACUACCAUGAUGGAUAGUGAUUGACGAUGCAGAUGCAAAGGGAGAUAACACCUUCUCAGAUUUCACCUUAGCCAAGCCAAGGAACAAAAUCUGGAUGAUCGACCGAGAGACAUUUAGCACUCCGCUUCUAAUGUUCUCCUUGAUGUGCUAGCGUAACCCGAUAGCAGUCGGUAUCUGGAACAUCAAGUAAAGGUCUGGCUUCGGGAGAACAAAGGAUCCAUAAGGAACAACUUCUAAUAAGUCACUCGAAAUCCUCAUGGAGAAGAUGGUCGAUUUGCUCAAUCAAGAUACUACAAUGAUAGAUCUUCCAGCUAGGUGUGUCGACCAGAACAUCAACCUUGUCGGGACCUACAUCAUAGAUCUUGGAAAGGUUCCAACCAUCAUAUCUGCCUGAGAUUCAGAUCUGGUUGGUAACAUGAUAUUCCAGACUCAUCAAGUCUAGAAAGAAAAAUGAAAGUUUGCAACACAAAUCGACGAGAUGACGUUGCGAGAUUCUCGGGAAAUGAACUACGAUAGCAAGCUCCAAAACAUGAGCUGGUUCUGCUACAAACAUGUGAACACGUUGUCCCACACAAACAUUAUCCCAUGGUAGUCUUACAAUAAAACACCACCGAGUUCCGGUGGGGAACCAUCAUCGAGGAUAUCGAAGUCCUUGCAUAAGGUAUACUCUUAGGAAGGAGCUUCUUCUCCUUGAACAAAUGAAUCAGUGGCUUCGUGUGCUAGGGACACAUAUAGAAUGGAGGUAGCUAAUCUCACGAUCAAAUGUAUACUUCGCACAUGCAUGACUAACUUGGGAUGAUUCCAAGGGAAGCAAAAACAAUCUUUCUCGGAUACACGACGGCAACUUACACCAAGUGCACAUGAAUUAGACAAAGUCACAUCUUUCAUCCGGACAUAUGCUCCAUGAGCGGGUCAUGAAGAUAAUGCUUAUAAAAGUUUCCAAUACUAGCUGGAUGUUCAACACAAUCAAGGAGAGGUUAAAUAUGUUGCUGAUGGGCUCAACAAUAAUUCAUCCGGGUUUCCUUUUAAAAGGAAUUCCAUAGUUAAGUGAACAUGGUGAUAGCAUUGGUCAGACCAAAGAAUAUAAUGGUGUAUGCUCGAGGAAAAACCACGAGUAAGACAACAUUACGAACAUCGUUGGUUCUGAUUUGAUUUGAGAAUAGCCCACACUCAAAUCAAAGAUUGGAUAAGAUGAUAGGUCCAUUAACUGAUCACAGGGACCAAUCGGUGAAGAUAUCAUCUUUCUUCAACACACACACAUAAAAAGAUAUCCCUUAACAUGAACUAAGUCAGACAAGCUUUUAUCUUCCAACUCUCCAAGUUGUUGUUUAGCUUAACCAACUAGCUCAGGGGUAUCCAACACGGAUUCUUGGAGAAAGGGUGGUUUUGAAAACCAACUUGGUCACGAGCUCAACAUAGCAGUCAGGUGACAACCUGGUGAUACUUCCGAGAAGAUAAUCGAAAAAUCACGAACCACCGAUAUGCUAUUAAGCUUGAGAACAAUCUUGCUUUUCAGGGCAAGACGAGAUGAUCAAAUAAGCAAGGAAUUGGCAUAGCCCCAACUCAUUGAUCGAAAGGUGCGCCGGAGGUAAGGACUAGGUAGCACGAUCUAUCUUAGAAUGAUGAUUCCAGAACGAAUACGCUAAGAAUGAAAUUAUUGUCCUUUAACUACCAAGCAACGGGGUUGCUAGCAGUAUUGAUUUCACACAUCAUAGUUCACCUAUUGGCAUUCCGGUUGCAACAACACGGAAGCCGAGAAAUGAAUAAUGAGGGCGAGAAGUAUCACUAUAUCAAGAGUUCAUAGGAUGGUGUGCAAAUCUCACGAUACUCUUGCUAUGAAAGAGGGUGAUACUCUGAGGUAGAACAGAACAAAAGCUGGAUUGGCAUUUUGAUCUGCGGAAUACAACUGCUUUGACCCAAUCCUGGCUAUGGAUGAGGUACUGGAGUUUGUUUCUCCUAGUCAUCCUGAAUAGAAUGCUUGACUGACCACAAGAAUAAUAAGCAUCGAUAACAUGAAUGCACAAUUACUCCUGACUAUCAAUUGAUAGACGAAGAUCGAAAUACGACUAAAGAGGGACAACUCAAAGGAACAUAUAUCUUUCUGAGUGGUGGAUGCAUAGAUUAGUAUGUCGAGCAAAGCUCAACAUUUCUUCCGGAUAACCCAUGUAGGAGGUAGAACUGGCAGAUUCACAAUAUAGAAUGGAGAACUCAUCGAGAUCACUCUGGUUGUGAUCCUUGGUUCAAAGAACUUCUGCCAUAAGUGGUUCAUAGUAUUUGGAAGAAGGAAAUACCACGAGCCUCGAGGACUAUCACAAAGGUUACUAAUAACCUAAAGGAACGAGGAAACACUAUCAACAUGAAGUGAGUAGGGUGAGUUUCGGGUUCAGAACCCGGAAAUAACUAAAUGGCAUCACAGGAUGCUUUCGAGAAUGAUGGCCAGAAUCAUCACACUGGGAAAACGAACAUGGCUAGAUUACUAGAUGAUCCCCUAGGACACCUAGGGUCAUAAUAAUAACUCCAACAUAUAUGUCGAGGCAAUAGAGCAUCUCAACUCACUGAUUAGUGUGGUUAACAUGUCCCAAAGAACAUCAGGAAUGGGAAGAAGGGAUUUGCAAAUGCAUCAGACUAUUUAGAAACCUAGGAUGACUCGGAUAGCAUAACGGCUGUAAAUGCUUAAAAGAAUUUGAGACAUGAUACAAAAAUGGUGGCAUAGCCACUCAGAAGCAAUAUAUCAAAGUUCUGGGAUCAACUAUGAAUACACAUAAGUAGUAAGAACUGAACUGAGGCUUAAAAAGCACCAAUCCUACAAGUCUACGGAUUAGUAACACGUGAUCCUAAUAGAAAGAAGAGAAAGCCUAGUUCCUUAACCCCGUAGGAAAGAUAAGAUGACUCGGAUCAGAAGGCAUAAGGGAUAAGGAGUAAAGAGAGCCUUACGUUCCAUCUCACAAUCAAUUCCCUUAUAUAACUAAAGAAUUUCUAGACUCAACUUCGACCAGUUUGGCUUGGUAAUCCUACAGGUAGUCAGGCUCUGAUACCAAAGCUGUCAGGACCCCCGACUCAAUGCCACAUCGAUCUAGCAUGGAACACCUCAUAUCACUUUGCGGCCUCACGCACGGUAUCCCCACGGGUGUCGCCUUACCUUUGCUCGGGACCGUUUGCGCCUUUUGGCACACGUAUAUGAUAGUGUCGCUAGCAUCCAUAUGAUAAGGAGUCCGGGCUGACAUGGCUAGUCGUAAACCCAAAGUGGCACAAACUUACAGGGACAGGCAUCCAUGACCCAUCAUCGAACGUGUCGAUCAUCAGCGAGUGAAUCCAGGCUGUAGCACUGGGCUAGCAGGACUCCGGUGAACCGGGCUGUAGCGGGCUAACAGGACUCCGGUAUUCAUCGCGUGACAUUUCCCCGAAGGGACAGACACAGGAACGAAGAAGGACACAUCCCGGCCAGCCUAAGUGUUCCGGAGCAGUAGCAAGCUACCAUGGCUCGGUGGAAACACUAGGAGACAUUUUCCGGUAAGAGAGGCUACUAAGGAUAAACAACUAGAUAGUCAGAUCCCACACAUACCAAGCAUUUCAAUAACAUACACACAAUAUGCUCGAUAUGUGCAAUACAACAUGGCAUCACAAAAUGACUCUACGACUCAGUAGUUUAUUCAAUAGGCUCCGAGGAGCGAGAUAUUACAAUCAUGGGUCUCAUGACCCAACACUCAGAGCAUACAAGUCAAAACACAAGCGGAAGCUAUCAUGUCUGAGUACAGACAUCUAUAAAUGAAAAAGGCUAAGAAGCCUGACUAUCUACCAGAUCCUGCCGAGGGCACAAGAUCGUAGCUGAGGUAACAAGCUAAACGUCGAAGUCCACGCGGAACUACUAGUGAGACUGAAGUCUCUCUGCAAAAACAUAAAGUAGGCAAACGUGAGUACAAAUGUACCCAGCAAGACUUACAUCAGAUCUAUCUACAUAUGCAUCAUUAUCAACAAGGGGGUGGUGGGGUUUAACUGCAGCAAGCCAGCUUUGACUCGGUGGCUAUCCUGAACUACGACUGCAAGUAACUCUUUUGAGGUGGCGCACACGAGUCCACAUAUUCACCAUAUCGAUACACCACUAUGGAUCCGCUCCCGUCUCCCUACGAGAACGCCAUCCAUAGCACUCACACUUAUCUUGCGCAUUUUAGAGUAUCCACUUUCACUUGUCUAUGAACUGUACAGGCAAUCCAGAAGUCCUUUACCGCGGACACGGCUAUUCGAAUAGAUCAUAUUAACCCUGCAGGAGUGUACUUCUUCACACACGCUCUCACCACUUACCGCCGUUUACACGACAUGUACUCGGCAACCUUCAAGCGGAAGCCCAGCGAGGGUGUCGGCCACGAGCUGACUAACCACACAAGUCUCUCGUCCAGGUUUAUCGCCUAUUCGGGUUUCAUCCGCAAGGAGAUCCGGCCGGGGUGUCGCUCACGGCCCCAAACAAUGUGAGCAGGGUUCCCAAGCCCACCAUCUGGGUGCUACUUGGUACACCGUGCCACUGUGCCUAGUCUGUCCCAAGCCCACUUGUACCGGGUGCCACUUGGUAGACUACUAACACUACCUACAAACACCAGAAACUAGUUGCAACUCCUGGACAGAGAUCAAGUUGAUUAAUAAGUCGAGAGAGUCAAUUAAGGAUCCCAAUGUGUGGUACUAGUUGAUCAUGGAUCACAAACACAGAACUCAGUUCCUGAGGACGGCUGCAAUGAGACAACCCACCAUGUACUCCUACAUGGCCUCUCACCGCUACCUUUACCAAAUCGUGUUCACACACUUAGCUCUCAACAGUAUGACAUGUUCACCACAUUCCAAUUCAUUCCCGAUGAAUCAGACCUGACACAACUCUAAGCAAUAGCAGGCAUGACAAACAAACAUGAAUGAGUAGGCACAUCAGGGCUCAAACAACUCCUACUCAUGCUAGUGGGUUUCAUCUAUUUACUGUGGCAAUGACAGGUCAUGCAGAGGAUAAAGGGGUUCAGCUACCGCAGCAAGUAACAGUUGAAUCGGUGUUGUCCUAAUGCAGUAAAAGAGAGCAGGAGCGAGAGAGUGGGAUUGUAUCGGAAUGAACAAGGGGGUUUUGCUUGCCUGGCACUUCUGAAGAUAGUAUAAUUCUUCAUUGGUGUCAUUGAUCCCAUCGUCGGUAUCACGUCUAUCGAGAGGGGACAAAUACCGGCAAACAAGGAAGAACACAAUCAAUGCAAUGCACAAUAUGAUGCAUGAUCAUGACAUGGCAAUAUGCUGUGAUUUGAGCUAAUGCAACUAGCAGCAAGUUAAAUGGAGUUGGUUUGAACCCUAGGUUCAAAUUCAAACUCCACAUGUGAUUAUUUAAAUGCCAUUCAUAUGAUUUGUCCUAAACAGCAACUAUAAGUUGUUCUAACAUGCAUGAAAAUGAUACAGAUGGAUAGAUUGGAUUUUUCUGAUAAUUUUUCAUAUAUAAUUUAUUUCAUUUGGAGUUACGGUUGAAUUUCUAUGAUUUUUACAAGUUUUAAACAUUUUUUGAAAUAAAUAAACCAUUUAAGAUUUAUUUAAAUUCCAAAGGAAUUACUGCGUCAGCAUGACGUCACUGUGAUGUCAGCGGUCAACAGGGCCGGUCCAGGUCAAACCUGACCAGUGGGUCCCGCGUGUCAGUGUGAUUAGACUAACUAAUGUUUAAUUAGUACUAAUCCAAGUUAAUUAGCAGGGCUGGCCCCACCUGUCAUUGACCCAGGGGGGGUUAAACUGGGCCCACCCGAGGUCAAACUGGUCAGCGGGUCAAACCUGCCGGCGGUUAGCCGCCGGCGAGGCCCGAGAUGCUGGAGGUGCUCGGAAAACCACCACGGGGCUCGGAUCGAUGCGCCGAAGGCAUCCCUAUGGCACUGGUGAUGCGCCGCGUCGGAUGGUUGUGGUCUCCGGGCCUGGGGUGGCCAGAAACAUCGACGGCGAGCACCGCAGCGGCGGCUGGAGUUCGGGUGGGUGCGGGGUUGGCGCUGCGGCUCACAAACGAGCCGGCUGUCGCGCUAGCGUUGCUCUACGGAGCGUUGCGAGUGGAACGGACUCACGUGCGGGGCCAUUUGGUCACCGGGGCUUCACCGGCGAUGAGCCCGUGCGGCGGCAGCUACGACGAGCAAAGGGGCGACAUCUACGGAGAGUAGAGAAAGCGGGGAAGAGGGUAGGUUGAUGCAGGGGCUCACAGUGGACACGCAGGGUAGAUCAGCGGGCUCGGGGAGGCGUCAGAGACGGCGAAUCGACCGGCGAAGUCCGGCGAGUAGAUGGUCUGGUGACGAGCUCGAAGACGAUGGCGUGGUGAUCCUCAGCUUGCGUGGCUCGGCGAAGAGGAAGAGGAAGUUGCGGCGGACCUUCCAGACAUGGGGGAGGGACGAGGAGGUGGAUGUGGCCGCGACGAACGGCGUCGGUGGCGAUGGUGGCGCUCAGGCACGAGGUGCAGAGCGAGAGAGAGGAGGGGAUGAGGACGAGGGAGUGGGCGAGAGGGUCCAGGGUGACGCGUGGCGUCGUCCAGAUGCGUCGGGGUAGCAGUGUGAAGCAGGAGGUGGCGGGGCGCGUGCUCGCGCGCGGUGGCCACGCGCCUCUCAUCCUCCUGGCAGGAGGUUGAGGGUGACUGGCACGGCGCUGUGGGCUGGGCCACACAGUAGCAGGCCGGCCAGGCUGGACAGGUAGGCGCCAGGUAGGUCUUCUGCUCUUUUGUUUAUUUGUUUCUGUUUUCUAUUAUUCUGCAACUUUGUGGCUUUAUUAAAAAUACUAAAUCAAUCCCAAAAAUCAUGCAACUACUCCUGACCACUGUUGGAAAUAUAUCCUACAGUAAACAUUUCAGUUUGGGAUUAUUUGAGCAUUUAAAAUAUUUUAUAGCAUUUAAAUGCCCAAAUGCAAAUACUAUAUGAUUUAAUUCAGUGACCUUAUGAUGUCCUAGAAAAGUGUGCACCAUAUUUGUCAGAGGUUCUAACCCAAGGCAAAGAUGAUGAACAUUUUAGAAGGGCAUUUCAGGUUCAUUGAAAAAGAUUUUAGUAAACCCUAGUUGUCUUCAGGGGGGGUGUUGGGGGUUCUAUCAUCCCCAUUUUGAGUUUAUUUGAAAAAAAUUAAACAUGAUGCACACAUAAAGGGCUAGCCUAGUGCAUGCCAGGACUAGGGAUGUGACAAUCCGGUGAAAGCAAAGCGCACUCUUGAUGCCCUGAGGAAACCGGCAAAGUCUCCGCCGAGAACCAACUAUGAGCGCAUUACUGAACAUACAUAUCUCCAAGCGGAGCGGUCGGGAAGUACUGUCAGGCAUCAAAGAGCAAAAGAACGAGCAGCUGCGAAAAAAUUGACCAGCUCGGCGAACAAGCAAACCAAUCGUGCCCCCCUCUCAAUGUGUCUAGCGGCAACAUCGUCGCUAAUGUUCCGGGGAUGGUGGCCGGUUAUGGCAAUCUACAAGAUUACCUGCCUGAUGAUGCACUUCCUGAUUUCAUGGAGGUGGAAGAACACAAAUACGAGUACGGGAAGCCUCUCGUCAAAGAUGAAAAAUCUCUAACAACGAUGAUGCGAAGAUUCCAUACUUGGUACAUGAAAACCUGCAGAGAGUCUGGGGGACGAAUACUUUGUAUCUGAGAAUUAAAGAGGAGCACGACCUCGUUGGAAAUGAUCUGUUGCCUGUUCCAUUUGAGGAGUUCUUCGAGUUCUUCAAUCAAAAGGCCCUCGAUAAAUUAACGGUCUUUUGCUACUGCCUGUAAGUACUAUUUCUGUCAUUAAGUCUCUAUAUAUAGCUCGGCUCUUUCAUUGCAUGUAUUUAUAAUUAAUUAUCCUCAAUAUAUUAUGCAGAUUGAAGGUCGUCGAGUGCAAAAAAAAUGAAAUUUAUGAUAUUGGGUUCAUUAACACAAAUAUCAUAGAUGUAUUUCUGGUUGAAAAGAACGUCAAAGAGGCCGAGGACAACUUGCUACAAUCGUUGAUCAAAAAUCAAAACAAAGAUACCAUACUCUUUCCUUACAACGGCAAGUGAGUGUUACUGUCGUUUGCAUAUUCGGUUUCCCUUAUUACUGGAGCGAGGUUAUAGUAAUGUAAUUGAUGAGUUAUGCAUGCAUGCGCAGGUACCACUAUAUUCUUCCGGAGAUUAAGCUUGAGCAUGGACUAGUAACCAUCUUGGAGUCGAGACGGAGAGAUCCCGAAACCUAUGCGAACAUGACUGAAAUGCUCAGCAAGUAAGUUCAAUCGAUCAUUAUCACACCAUAUCGGUAACUUUUUGUUCAUUUCCUGAUAUAUCAAGUAAUAAUAAUUAUUUUCUUUGUCUUGCAGGGUUUGGAAACAGUUCACCGCACAAGCUCCGGGACUGCCGAAGGAGCUGCGAUAUACAUACCCGAAAGUAAGUACUACUGGCUAGCUAGUUGUGCGCAUCUCCCGUUGAUUCUAUAGCUAUACUUUCAUUAAUGCCAUUUAUAAUGCUUCAUUAUCAGUUUGAUUGACCUUUAUUUCUCGUAAAGUGCUUGUGGCAGGAACAAGGGAAUGAUUUCUGUGGAUACUACAUGUGCGAGUUCAUCCACAACGCGACUUUGAAAAACAAGCGGGGCUACUCUCAAAGACAAUACGAAGUGCGUAAGCAAUAAUAUUCACAAUUUCAUUUUAUUAUACCAUCAUUUCUGUUGAAUUUCAUUCAUAUAUAUGUAUUAAUUAACCCCCUUCUUCCAAUUAGACGUGGCAGAUGCGGAAUGAACUCCUAGAACCAGAUCGCAUGAAAGCAAUUCAAGAGGAAUUGGCGGGAUUCUUUCUUGACCACGUCAUCAACAAAGCCAGAGAAUACCAUGUGGAAGUUGAUUUCAAAUGCUAGGGGACUGUAAUUGAGAGAUCUUACAUAUUGUGCAUGUAUGUAGCCAGUAGCGUCGGAUGUACAUGAUACGAAAACUUGUUGUUCGACCAAUCUCUCGGAGAAGGAGAGGUCGAUCGAUCAUUUCUCUCGGUAUGCAUGACGAACUUCUGUACUCAAUGGUUCCCUACAUUUUCUUACUAGCUAGCGUCUCGAGGGCUAUAUGUAUAUAGUACGUAGCGUCGACCAAGCAUGGACAUAAGAGAGGACACUUCUCUCUAUUAAUUAGCUAGCUAACACAAUAUAUGAAACACCUAAAUUAACCCCCANNNNNNNNNNNNNNNNNNNNNNNNNNNNNNNNNNNNNNNNNNNNNNNNNNNNNNNNNNNNNNNNNNNNNNNNNNNNNNNNNNNNNNNNNNNNNNNNNNNNNNNNNNNNNNNNNNNNNNNNNNNNNNNNNNNNNNNNNNNNNNNNNNNNNNNNNNNNNNNNNNNNNNNNNNNNNNNNNNNNNNNNNNNNNNNNNNNNNNNNNNNNNNNNNNNNNNNNNNNNNNNNNNNNNNNNNNNNNNNNNNNNNNNNNNNNNNNNNNNNNNNNNNNNNNNNNNNNNNNNNNNNNNNCCUUUCAAAAAAAACAAAAAACCCAGCCACUGGAAUGCUGACGCGUGGAUGCCUUUUGGUCCGGGUUGGUGGCACUGGAAUGCGGACGCGUGGAUGCCUUUUGGUCCCGGUUGGUGCCACCAACCGGGGCCAAAGGCCCCCCCUGCCUGGGUUCGGCGCACCGGCCACGUGGAGGACCAUAUGUCCCGGUUCGUUUUAGAACCGGGACUAAAGGGGGAAGGUAUUAGUAACGACCCAUUAGUCCCGGUUCAUGAACCGGGACUAAAGGCCCUCACGAACCGGGACUAAUAGGUGUUUUUCUACUAGUGAACAAAAGAGGGACACAAUAGUUUGUCGAUAAAUGACACAACAAAUGGAGUGAGAGCGUGUACGAGUAUGAUAAAUGGCUCUUUUAUGUGAGAAGGACCAAAGAAAAACAAUUAUAUGGCACCACAAUGCUGAAACAUAGUAUGUUGCACAUCUAAAACUAAUAUUUCCUUUCAAUCGUCCAAUGCAGAGUUGAAGUACUCACCUACAAAUAACAACAUAUGCACAUUACAAAAUUGUUUGCAGUUACCGUGUUGCUUCUGGCUCUCCUUCCUUUAACUCCUUCUGUGCAUAGACAGUUAGCUAUUUUUGUUCAAGAUAUAAAUGUAUGAACUUCACAAAAUAUGUGCAUCCAUUAAAGUUUUUAUUUUUUUUAGUUGCAGCAUAUAUCUGCAAAAAGAAGGUGCAACAUUACUUUUGUAGCCCCGGUGUCACUUUUUUUGAAGUGAUCGUAUCAUCAUGAUUCUACACCCCAGGGUUUCCAUGUUCUCAUUUCAAACCUUAGAAUAGGCGUUCUUUUAGAAUAAAAGGUUGGAUUAAUUUAUGAUGCACAAACACCAUUCGUCAUCGAUUUUUCCCAUGCAAUUAUCUUUUCAUUGAUAUUGACAAGAAAUUCCUACAUACUUGGUACCCAAAAUAGUCAGCGUUGCAGAUUACCAAACAAUUUGAUAUUUUGAAUUUUCCAAAAAAAGGAUAUGACAAUGAAAGUUUCAAAAAAUGUCAUUGUGUAUUUCUACAUAUUCUUUAUUGCUAUUUAUUUGAGGAUUAAUAUUCACUUGAUAAGCACAUGUAUUCAUUUAAAAUGGAACUGUUAUAAUUUUGAUUAAAAAAGGAAUAUCAUGUUUUCUAGUAUGAUUUAACACUCUUGAAGAGUAUGACAUGAUGCGGGAUCGAGAAGACUAUUUAUGGUUCUUUUACAUAGUUGUCACUACCAAUGGUGAACAUAUUACAAGUUUACAACUCUGCAAGUCAAACAUAGUCGCCGCUACAAAAUCUUGCUACUGUGUCAGUAGCACAUGAAAAAUGUGUAUUUAUUAUUUUCCUACAAAAUAUGAAGUGUAAAACAAAAUCCGAAAUAAUCAAAAAUAUGGAAUACCUUUCUGUAUGUAAAUAUGUAAUCAUUUGAUGUUAAAAAAUGCAAAAACACAAAUAUGUGUGAUAUAAGUCACGCAUGUUGAGAAACCAUUUCGCCAAGAACCCUAGUUUUUUUAACGAAAAGGGCAAGAACUCUAGCUAAGCUGAAACCAUCAAUUCUUCAGUGAACCCCGUUCUUUUCUCUUGCGUUUAUACCUGCGUUGAGUGGAUGGAGGACUCGUUUGAUUUCUCGGAGGUGUAUAUAUAGCUUUUCCAUCUCCAAUUUCACAUGUUUUUUAUGCUAGAUCGCGCAACGAUCAAUUUUGUCUUUCGUUUGAGUACUUCACUAGAUCCUACUUUAGUUAUGAUAGUAUAUGAGUAAGACCAAGUCACCUAAGCAGUGACCCCUACACCAAAAAUCAACACCAAAGCGAGUUUGAUGAAAAGAUACCACCUCUGCUAUUUUUUGAGACAAACAACUAUAGUGGUGUAGAUAAUUGUAGAUGAUCCAUGAUCUGCUUCUCAUUAUCAUUGUUUUUGACAACCAACCAUGCAAGGCGCGGAGUCGAAAAGAAGGAAGAAAAAGAAGUCUAGCAAGCAUAUUGAUAGAUGAAUUUGAUGACAGCAUGAUGCAUGUUGUUCCUUUCAACUUUUCAACACAAGUUAGGCACUCAUAUAUGUACUUUGUUGGUUUGAAUAUGUCAUUUCUGAAUUACAAAGUAAAUGAAUAAUAUAUGAGGUCUACAGUUGCUACGUAACCCAACCACAAACUCAGCUUUCAUCUCAUGCAUCGAGCUGCUGAAUCACACGUCCUCUUUUUCUAUCCUUCACAAAAACUUCUUGGUCACAAUCAUGCUCCUCCUCCUACUACUACUAGCAAAAAAAAAAACCGAUGAAAGUUGCCAAGAGGCGCCUGGAAUCGUAAUAAAUUCGGCGAACGACGUUGCGACAGGCCCCGACCGAGCGCCCGGAAGAGAACAAGCGCGCAGCAAAAAUGAUAGACAUACAAAGACUUACACGCUUUUACACGCUUUUUUCAUCUAACAACCAAUCAUAAAUCUCUCCCCCCCCUGAUUUUCAGAGGGUGGGUCAUCCCGCUCACCUAUUGACCAAUCAAAGUUAACCAUCAUGUAAAAGUCUGUAAAUCGUUUGUACGUGUAGCAUUGCCGAUCAGGCGCGAGCACGAGGCGGCCCAGGGCCCAGGGGAAUAACAAUCAGUGCGCUGACGUGGAUCCGAUCGGUCAUGGGACCCCAUCCGACGGCCCAGAUCCUUUUCCUCCUCUUUUAUCUCCCCCCUCCUCCCUCCCAACCCUCUCGCAGUCGCAGAUUCCCACCCUCGUCUCCUCCUCUCCACACACGCACGGACGCACUUCCAUGGCCGCCGCCUCCUCGUCGUCCCCCCCUCCCAGCCCCGCUUCAUCGUGCCUUUUACGGAGUUUGCGAGCGUGCAUGUGCUAGGGUGGAUCGUGCAAGAGCGGAGGCGUACGUACGUCUUGGUUUGUUGGUGAAGGGAGGAGCUAGGCUGUGGUGCGGGGUGGAGCUAGCUGGGGGAUAGCCUGCAAGAAGCCGAUGAGGCGAACGACUAGCUUGACGGAGGUCGCGCCGCCGUCGGUGCUGGCGGUGGUGUUGGAGGACGAGGACGAGGACGAGCUGGUCAAGGCGGUGGUGCAGGCCGAAGAAGGUGGCGCCGGCGGGGGCCAGGACUGGCUGGCGGCCCUAGGCGGCGGCAG